rnacentral:lncRNA from 1 species
CCACCGGUGCCCACUCCACUGCCUAUGCCGCCUAGGGUUCCGAGACCACCGGUGCCACCCAAGCCACCCAAGCUGCCGAGCCCUCCUGUCCCACCUAGUCCACCUGCACUACCGAUUCCUCCGCCAAGUCCGCUGACUCCACCUAGUCCACCAAAUGGCAGUCCAGAACCACCUAGUCCUGCAACACCACCGACUCCGCCGAAGCCACCGAGCCCGCCAAAGCCGACGAUAUUCUUUUGGUCAUCGAGACCAGCAUCACUAGGCACAGUCCUUGCAGUGGUGUGAACCACUGCUACGGCAAGCACUGCCAUGAUAAACCACUUUGCCAUCUCUCUCUUUUCUCACUUACUAACUCACGCUCUAAUGCUUCUUUUUGAGGGUUUACUCAGUUGCACCUGAAGGGUGUUGCGGGUCUCCUUUUAAAGGCCUAAAGGGAGGUGGGGGACAGUUGCACGUAGUAAAUGAAGUUAAAUGCUGACCAGUCCAUAGCUUUACUCAGUCGAUGGAAUUGAACAGGAUUUGUUGGAACUAUGCUUUGAGCUGCUGAACCUCAGGGCCUCAAAUUGAUCAACAUCUAACAAAUAAAAAUGAAAAUCACUUGCAUAUCAUCAUGGCUUCCAUACAGAUGUUAGGCCAUAUGUAUGGCUGUGAUGGGAUUCAGAAACUUGCUCCUACCAAGAUGUGCAUGACAGAAAACUUAAAAGUACAUGGAUAACGGACCACGAAAAAUGUCUUUCUCUGAUAAUUCUUUCGCGUUUUAUUUUUCACAUCCUGAAAUUUUCAGUUGAUCUCUUGCUAAGAGAAUGUAUGGAAAAAAUGAAUAACAAAUUAGAUAAAAUGAUACCUUAUCUUAACACCACUCUGUCGUGCAUUUCGUCUCUUUGGGCUUACCAUAUGAUAUAGAAAGCGAUGCAACAUAACAUAAACAAUUCUUGGAAUUAUUAUUAUUAUUUAAAAAAAAAAGUUAAAAGAAAUAGUUUUUUUUUUCCUUUUUUUUCUGUUUUUUUUUUAAGAUUAUAUUUAUGCCAUUAUUUUAUUUUAUUCUGAACACGAUUUAACAAUUUUGGGAGAUCAAUCCUCUUGUUUCAGAUUUUAUGAAACCAGUUAUGCAUGAUGUUAUUUAUUUUCAAAAUACAAUUAUAUAAAUAAUUGGAAUGGAGACAAAAUAUUAUUUUUUACAUAUUUUAACUUUAUUUUUUUCCAUUAAAUUUUAUUUCGAGGGUGCAGGUAAAGAAGAUUAUCAAUCCACCAAACUGCUGAUAAUCAUUCAAUGUUAUGUUGGAAUCCAUUCAGCGUCUGGCUUUGUCAUUACAGAUGUGUCAUUGUAAGAUGGAGAAUUAAUUAAGCCUGGUUUGUAUAUUUGAUUAUUUUUAGAUAAAGUCUUGACAAAAAAAAGUGACAAACUUUGAAAAUAUUAUACUCAUGAUGAAAAAUAAAAUAAAAUUAUAGCUACACCCAUUUAAUCAAAUUAAGAUUUUUCAUGUUAAUUUGAAGUCAUGAAAAUUAUUAAAAUUUUUAGAUUAGAUGAGUAAAAGUAGGUUUUACAGCGAUUUUAUAAAGUGUUUUUAGGUUUUUUAAUAUUUGAGAGAUGAAAAUUUUUAAGUAUUAAAAAUUUAAAAAAUAUUUUCUAAAAUCGAUGUAAGUGCUUUAUCCAAAUAAAAAUUAAUUAGGUCUCAUUUUUCUAGUAUGAUGAACAUGACGAGAAUUCGGUGAGAACUGACGGAUAAAGACCAAGGGUUGCUGAAGCUCCACGGGCAAGUACUAGAGAUGAGAGUGAGGUGAUAAGUGGGGUAGGGUGAAUCAAUAACAGCUCCUCAGCUGCCCGUGACAGGACUAGGGCUGAGGAUGCUGACCUUGGUGGAGGAGAAAGUAAAUGCAUUUGUCAGGAGAGUUUGUGGACUCCUCUUAGUUUCACCUGUUCUUAAAAAUUCAUUUAAUGACCUACAACUCUCAUGCACACAUCUUCAUGCUCAUGUACAUGCAUGUGAGAUAUCUAUCCCAUAUGGAUCAUCUUAACUAAGCCUAUUUAGCAACUGUUUUCCACAAUAAAAUAUAUUUAAAAAUAUUAAUAAAAAAAUAAGUUAAAAACAUUUUAAAUUUCAGAUUUUUAAUUUAUAAAACAUCAAAAAAAGUAGUUUUAAAAAAUUGUUCAAAAAAGUUGUUUUCAAAACUGUUUUAAAAAACAAUUACUAUGUACAUUUUUUAUUUUUUAUUUUUAUUUUUAAAGUUAGAAAUAUAGUUGGAAUUUUCAUGUAAGAGACAAGUGCUCUUGGAGAUUUAUAUUAAAAAAUAACAAUUUUUAAAAUAAAUUAUAUAUAUAUAUAUAUAUAUAUAUAUAUAUAUAUUAAGAAUAGAUAUCAACAAAUCCAACAAAAUUGAAAAACAAUGCGGCAUAUAGUACUUCCACAAAUCAAGACUUUUAAAAUGUGGAAAAAGAAAUUUAAAAAAAAAAUACCACCACAAAUACCUCUUCAUAUACUGGUUUACCUUGAGACUCCUAAAUAUAAAUAAUAAUAAGAAAACCAGACCUGAAAAUACAAAACACAAAAAAAUCAGCAUUAACUUCAGGAUUUGACUUUCAUGUGGCUUGGAUAAGUUGGUUUGCAAAAAUGUAAUUCAACUUUUUUAAAGUUAUUACACCCGUUAAGUGAAGCCCAUAAGUGAUUGGUAGUGUGGUAUGUUGGUUUUGAAAAAUAUUAAUGAAAGAAAAAAUAUAUAUAAAAAAAUAUUUUUUUAUAUUUGUUUGUAUUAUAAAAAAUACAAAAAAAGUUAAAUAUAAUUAAAAUGGAUAAGAAAAUGGCCAAGGUGAAGUCAGUGCAUGCAAUUCCGAAGGUGGCAUGUGAAUGAGGUCCCAUGUAUCUGGCACUCGGGACAUCUCUGAACAAACUGGCAACAAUCCGUCUCCAUGGUCAACCAGAAGUAACCAGUCCUCAUGAUCUUACGGGCCAACAUAUGCCCUUCCAUAUGUGGUCCGCAAACUCCCGCAUGAACCUCUCUCAUGACUCGAUCGGCAGAGGCGCGGUCCAAACACAAUAGCAACAUCCCGUCAGCUGAUCGUCUAUAUAGUUCUCGUCACAAAUCACGAAUCGGACGGCUAACUGUCUCAGUGCUCUCCUAUCCUUGGCCGUGGCAACCUCAGGAUACACACCAAGUCUCAUAAAGUGAUAUAUGUCAUGGUACCAGGGCAAACCAUCGUCUAUCUCCGUAUCUUCAAUCAAACAACAAUACGCAGAAGCAGACCUCGAUUCGAUCAACAAUGGGUGAACAGUGACAUCAACAGGAAUGUCAAUCAUGGAAGCUAGAGUAGCUAAGGCAUCAGCAAACUGGUUCUACGCUCUAGGCAGAUGUGUGUAUCUCAAAUCAUCAAAUCUCUCGACCAGUAGCUCCAAAUACGCGUGGUAAGGCCUAAGCUUCACAUCCCUAGUCUUCCACUCGCCCUGAAUCUAUCUCAAUACCAUAUUGGAGUCACCAAACACCUCCAUCUGUCUAAUCCCGAGCUCUAGAGUCGUCUCUAAUCCCAGAAUACAAGCCUCAUACUCAACAAUGUUGUUCGUGGCAAGAUGUCGAUCCGAGAAUGCCAAACAAACAAAUCUAGGAAUGUGAUCACCAGGAGGGGAUAUCAACAAGACGCCUAUCCCGUAUCCAAAGUGGUUGACCGCACCAUCAAAUUACAUGCGCCAACCUAACAGACUAGUCAUAGUAGUGACAUCCUCGUCCGGGAAGUCAUCAUCAAUGGCUCUACCGUCGGAAACUGGUAAGAAUGCUAGGUGAUCUGCGACAAUGCUCCCUCUGAUGGACUUCUGAGUGACAUAAUGGAUGUCGAACUCAGUUAGAAGCACCAACCAUCUCAUGAGGCGACCAACCAGGGCGGGCCUGUCAAACAAAUAUCUCAGAGGGUCUAGACGGGAUAUCAAAUGCACUGAAUACUCGGUCAUGUAAUGUCUCAAUCGUCGAGUGGCCCAAACCAAUGCUAAGCAAUAGCGCUCAAUCAUAACAUAUCUCGUUUUGUAAUUUAGUAUCCUCUUACUCAGAUAAUAAAUGGCUCGAUCUUUGCUCGAAUCAUCGAGCUGAGCCAACAUGCAUCCCAAAGCCACAUCUGAGAUGGAUAGGUAUAGGAGUAAAGGACGGCCUGGUGUAGGAGGCGCCAAGACUGGGGAUGACAACAAGUACUCUCGAAUCCUUUCGAAUGCGCACUGACACUGAUCAUCCCAAACAGUAGGUUGACUCUUCCUCAAGAGUCGGAAAAUGGGCUCACAGAUGUCUGUCAAUCUGGCGAUGAAUCUACUAAUAUACUAAAGUCUACCCAAGAAGCCUCUAACCUCUCUCUCUGUCCUUAGUGCUGGCAUGUCAAGGAUGGCUCUGAUCUUGUCCGAAUCUGCCUCUAUGCCUCUCUCACUGACCAUAUACCCUAAGAGUUUCCCAGAAGUCACUCCGAAAGUGCACUUCUUGGGAUUCAGUCUCAAUCUGAACUGUCGGAUCCUCUCAAAGAACCUCUCCAGAGCUGCUAGGUGAUCUGGUCUCUCUCGGGAUUUCACUAUCAUGUCGUCUACAUAAAACUUGACAUCCCGAUGCAUCAUGUCAUGGAAGAGGGUGGUCGCUGCUCUCUAAUAGGUGGCUCCUGAUUUUUCAAUCUGAAUAGCAUGACCCUAUAGCAAUAAGUACCCCACUCGGUAAUGAAGAACGUCUUCUCCAUGUCCUCUGGAGCCAUCAAGACCUGACUGUAUCCGGAAAAUCCAUCCAUAAAGGACAACAUCAAAUGACCUAUCGUACUGUCAACUAGCAUGUCGAUGUGUGGAAGAGGAAAAUCAUCCUUAGGACUGGUCUUGUUAAGAUCUCGAAAAUCAACACAAACUCUCACCUUGCCGUCCUUUUUGGGAACAAGGAUGACAUUGGCCAGCCACUCUGAGUACUCGACCACUGAUAAGAAUCCUACAUUGAGCUGCUUCUGAAUCUCCUCUUUGACCUGCAAGCUCCAACGAGGAUGCAAUCGUCUCAACUUCUACUUAACCGGUCUGGCAUGGGGCAGAAGUGACAAACGAUGUUGGACGAUAGAUGGAUCAAGGCCUGGCAUGUCCUUAUAAGACCAUGCGAAAACAUCCAAGUAUGCUCCGAGCAAUUGGAUGAGGCUAUCUCUCUUAUCAACAGAUAAAUUUGAUCCAAUCCUCAACUCCCUAGGUUGAUCUACUGUGCCGAAAUCAACAAUCUCCGUGUCUCCUACAGUAGGUGAAACUCUCUCAUCAACGGGAUCCAAAUCGGAAACAGAAGGUGAGUCAUCGUCUGAAUCGUGCUGUGCAAUCUUAUCAUCAAUGUCAAAAAUCUAUGAUGUGGGUGAAGAUGGUGCAGAUAAAUCAAUAACAUGAGAGACAAGCAAAUACUCAAAGAUGCUCAAAUCCAUAGAUGAAAAGUCAGAAACAUAGUCAUUAUGGGAGACAAAUCCCGAUAAAACAUCAAAGGAAAGAGGUGGGUCCACAAAGUCGGAUGCUCUCUCAACUAGGCCAACAGGGCCAUCAAACAAACCAUCAACAACUAUAACAUCCUAGGUGACCUCCGGAGCGGGGGCAACCUGGAUUUCCUCUGCGAUCUCGAGGACGGACACCCCAAAGAGAUCAAAUGGUGAAGCGAGCUCAGGUGGGGCUAUCUCCUCGGUUUAGCUUAAGCUCAUCGCGAGCAUCUCAUCAACAUACUCGUCACGUGGCACGACUCCGUCCACUAUGUCUCCGAUCUCGGCAAAAGUCCCGUGCUCAUCGAUCUCAUCCGGGAAGCAAAACGUCAUAAGACUCGUGUGAUCUGGGGAGGGAGGAGCGAUCAACGCAGAAGUCGAAGGGCCAGGGGCUUCGUCACUCAACUGUAACUGCUGGACGAGGCAAUGAAGUUCAGCCUCUUGGACGGUACUAAGUCCUUCGAUGAUCCCAUCAGAUGCUGCAUGUGGCUCCGAUGCCCUUACAAAGUAAUCAGCUAGGCUCAUGGUGUAUGGGCGAACAGGAUAAUAAAAGGGCGUAUGAGUCAAGCGAGCCCUCACCCUCUCCCUGUGCAAUCUCGCCAUAACGAUAAUCGGCCUUGGUGGGGAUGAAUCCGAGCCCGAAUGGUACGUCGUGAUAAGGGAAAGCCAUGAACUCACUAGGCCCGUGUUGGCGCCACCUUAACCCCAUACCGGGAAGAUAAGGCAUGCUCCGCAUAAUAUCGAGCACCACCGUGCUGGUCGAAGGACAUGGCUACAAAGUCUCGACAGAAAUCCUCCAUCUCCAGGGUUUGCACCUCAUCAAAGGUGAAUCUGGUCAGAAAAAAAUCAUCAUCAACGUGACUAAUCUCAAGUACGGGCUCGAUCGAAAUGAACAUAUCCCCUACAGACUGCACCACGACGACCCGACCACCAUGAAUAAACUUCACCCUCUGAUGAAGGGAAGAAAGAAUGGCCCCAGCUCUAUGGAUCCAUGGUCGGCCCAAAAGCAGGUUAAAGGAUGUAGGAAUCCUCAAAACUUGAAACAUGGUGACAAAAGUGGCUGGACCAAUCAAUAGCUCAAUCUCUAGUGUACCCAUGACCUCCCUCCGAGUGCUAUCAUACGCGCGAAUGGUCUGAGUGGAGGGGCUGAAGUCAGAAGGAGUGUAUCAGAGGGCAAUGGUCGUGGCAAAAGGACAUACGUUCAGGGUUGAGCCAUUAUCCAGAAGGACAGAUGGGACUCGGCGGCCUAAACAGCCAACGGAUAUGUAUAGAGGACGUGUGUGGUCCGAGCCCUCUGGUGGCAAAUCAUCGUCCGAGAAUACGAUGCAUGUGGCUCUACCGGCCAUCAUUAUUUGAAUCAAUCCCUUAGGGGAGGUGGUAGUCUCAACCCGGAUCUGCCUCAAAGCUCGAAUCACACAGUGCCCCAACUCAAACCCAAGUCCAAAGUCUCCAUGGGCAAGCCCAAGGCUCCAUCUUCAGCACCAACUUGGGCCGGGUGCCUCAACUUAAGCCCAAAACUUCAUCUCCUCCAUUGCUUGCCUCUCUGCCUGGAAAUCACCCUCAGAGGGAGCUCCUACCGCCGGUGGCACCAUGGACCACAACUUGUCGAUGUUGACGAUGGGGCAGUAGAGCUUGAUGCGGAGCUUGUGGAAGUGCCUCAUUCCAACCUUCCCGAAGUAGCCAAGGUGGUACUUGUCGAAAAAAGAUGCGGUGGUGAUGCAUACCUCCAGUAUUUCCGCGGCCACCAGGGUGCUUCUGGUGCUUGCCGAUCCGGCCAUGGCCGGCGCUGAUGUGUCCUCUCUUCUUCCUAUUCUUCUUGAACUUGGUUGUCAUCCUUGUACCUUGUACCGCCUAAGGCUUUUGAAUCUCUGGGGUGGUUUGCGGAGAGAAGAGAUAAUGUGAUAGGGAAGAUGAUGGGUGAGUCGGGUAUAAGGAGGUACAAGCAUGAUAGGCACGAGGGGUGCAUGUGAGGGUGUUUGGGUUUGAUGGAGAGGCACGGGUGAUGAAAGAAAACACGGGUUUAGUGGGUAUGGUGGGCUUGAUGAUAGAGAGAGAAAAGAUGAUGGGGAAAGGAAAUGAGGAAACCGGGUAUGAAGACGAGUGGAAUGGAAAAGGAGGCUUGACAGGUUGUAUUAGGAACAAAAGUUGUCGUGUCAUCCCCAAUGGAGCAGGAGGAAUAGAGACUGCUGGGUGUUGAGAGUACCAAGGCUGGGGGCGAGUAGGAGUGGACCAACCAGCAGGAGGCACGACUAAUGCACCACCACCAAGUUGUGAACUCGGGACCUCCACUUUAGCCAAUUUUGAUGGGACGUCUUCACCUUCCUCUCCAUAAUGAGCUGCUAAGAUUUCAUGUGGGAGAGCAUAUUCUCUAUUUUGGAGGUGACAGUCACGAACCCAGUAGAAUAAUUCAACAACUCUUUGGGCAAUGAAAAUGCGGCAAAUCAGGUUCCAAAACUAUGCCCAUGCGAAGACCAAAGGCGAUGUUGGCCAUGACCCUUUCUCCUUGGUGGUACGAAUAGCUUCCGAGAACAGAGAGUGAAUAGCAAGGAAGCAAGCACCAAAAAAAAAAAAAAAAAAAAACAGAGCAUCCAAAUGAACUUAAUAUAACACUUACAUGAGCCUUCUUUUAUAUUAAAGUUAAUAGGUUCCUGUAUAGGUAGGAAAGCCAGGUGGAAACAAGAUCCAAGGAUAUGAUUCAAACACAAAGGAGAGCUAAAAAAAAGGAAUUAAAUCACUCUCAGACAAAAUUUCACAUGGAGAACAAGGAACGAAUACAUUAUCACAUAGUUAUAGUGACCCAAAAAGAUGUGUAUAGCAAACAAAAUGUGGUUUAGAAAACGUACCUAAGGAUGCCCCCUCUCUUUUCCCCUGUUUUUUUUUUAGUUUCUCUGGAUCCCCCAUUUUCCUCUCUACCAGCCAGUUUCUAUCUUCUUGGGCAACCCAUUACCUGCUUCCCUGUUCAUCACAUCAGCAGCAUGGCCUCCUCAACUACCAACCUGACCAUCCAUGCCACAGCGGGUCUCUCCUUGCUGAUCCUCCAGAAAGGGGGUCCUCCCCCUUCUAAAAAAAAAACUUUCCUUGCCUCUUGUCGUCCUAAGGUGCCCUUUUGUUUUAAGUUAUGAAAACAAAUAUCAAUUGAAUAGUCCCAGCAAGCCAUUCUCUCAUGGCUUGAAAAGAGGGGUCUACAGAUAUAUAAUUUUUUUUAUAUAAUUUUUAGUUAUGAAAUUAAUAUUUAUAGCAAGAAAAUCAUAUUUAAAGACAAUAUUUAUGGAUGGAAAAUAGGUUUUUAAAAUUUUUUGCAAUAAAAUUUUAAUUUACACCAAUAAAUCCCAUUUAUCCACAAAAUCAAUUUGCAAUGAAUAGUUCUGUAUUUAUAAAUUAUUUGAUAGAAUUUUGAAAGAGAUGAAAUUAUCAAAUUGACGAUAAAAAUAUUGUUUUAUAGGUGAAAUUGAUUAAACAUGAGAAUGAUGAUGGCUUAUAUAAAACAUUUAUUAAUUGUUUAAAAUAAUUUAAAACUCAAAAAUCGAUAUAAUUAGUACUACAAAGUCGUGAAACUUAAUAAUAUUAGAAAGUUAUAGACCAAAAUUUAUUUUAUGACAUAUUUAGCUUCUUCUUUACAUAUAUCAUAUUUUUACUAAUUUUUUCAUUAGAUAAAUAAAUUUCAAAUCAAGCAAGACCUAUUGAGUUGGAUUCAUGAAUGACUCUAAUAAUUUUUAAAAAUAACUUAAAACUCAAAUAAUGAUCCAAUUAAUAUUAGAAAUUGAUGGAUAAAAAUUGGUUUAAAAUGACUAUUAUUAUUAUUAUUAUUUUACACAGAAUCUGAGAACCCCUUAAAAAGACCAAUGUUUUUUUUUUAUUAUUAUUCAUGGGAUUUAGCUGGAACCACCCGAGAGAUGGAGAGCUUUCUUGGUAGGAUGGGGGGGACCCCUUUUUGAAGGAAGGCAGCUUCAUAGACACAGCCGAAGGUGAUGGCCGGCCAUGCUUGCUGAUGGGGUAAACAGCAGGGCAAGUAGUGGCUUGCCAAGAAAUGAAAGAAAAACGGGGAUUUAGAGGAAAAAGGAAGAGGUUUUUAAAAAAAAGAGGGGAUUUUUUUCAGCUGGCUGGAGGAGACCUUGAAAGCUAUUGGAGGAAAAACACAGGUAUCAUUUCUACAAGCUGUGGAUUCUUUUGUGUUCAGGGUACUUUAUGAUGUCUUAUGGGUAUUAUGAGAUGCUAUUUUUGAUGCUUGAAUGUGCUUUUUUUUUUUUUUUUUGGGAUUCUCACAUAUUUUUAUGGAAUCUAAGCUUGCUUAUACUCACUCGAAGCUUGAUUUCCAACCUGUUCAUGGUCUCUGUUUUGAUGUUUUAUAUGAGAUGUUGGCAUUCACGUAUUGAUUUCUCUUUGGGAACUUAAAAUGGAACAAUAGAUGACAUUGAUGUUUCAGCCAAUGUAGUUGUUAUAAAUUUCUCCAUGCAUGCCACCACAUUUCCUCUCUCUACGUUCCCCAUUAUCCAUUACCCACUUCUCUUUCCAGCUCUCCACUCUUCCCCCCUCACCCCCAUACCCGCGUCAUGCCUAUUCCCAUUAGGACCCCGAAGUCACUCACCUACAUGCUUAGGAAUCGUGCAUGCGUGGAGCCAUGGACGGCGGCAGCAGGCUGCCACCAGCUUGUUGUGGAUGGUGGAGGCCGCACGCGGCGCUGCGUGAUGGUGUGCAGCUCCAGAAGGUGUCGCGGAGUGAAAGAAAUGGUGUGAACGGAGUUGUGGCAGCAAGGGAGCAGUCGGCUGUAGCAGGCCGUGAGGGUGUUCGCAUAAAAAAAAAAAAAGUGGAACGAACGGGAAAGAGAGUGGGAGGUGGCUGCCAAGAAGUUGGCUGGUGAAGAUGAUGAUGCCCAGGUGAAAAUGGUUUUGGGCUUAAGUUUGGGAGCCCAGCCCAAGCUUGUUGAUGGGGGUAGCAUAUUCUCAAGUAAUUGGGCUUGCCCUUGGUGGAAAUGGCUUUGGGCUUAAGUUGAAGCACCCGACCCAAGUUGAUGCUGAGGAUGGAUGCCUUGGGCUUGCCCAUGGCAAGGACUUUGGGCUUAAGUUUGAGAGCCCAGCCCAAGCUUGUUGAUGGGGGGCCUCAUGGCUCCUCAAGCUAGCCACCCUCAUGGCCCAAGCCUAUGUUGAGCUAGCCCAUUUGGUUGCCUCAACUCAAAAAAAAAUCUCUAUACCUCUAAUCUUUCAAAGAAAUCACAUAUCUUAAUUUAAUUUUUCAAUAACUAUUUCAAAUAUCAUUUUCAUCCAUUAGAAUUAUUUAUCCCAUAUUAUCUAGCUAUUUAAAGUCUAAAUCUUUCAAAGGAAUCAUAUGCCUUAAUUUAAUUCUUCAAUAAUUAGUUCAAAUCUCAUUUUCAUCCGUUAAAAUUAUUUAUCUAAUAUACUCAUCUAGUUAUUUAAAGUCUAACCCUUUCAAAAAUCCCAUGUCUUAUUUUAAUUUCUCCAUAAUUCGUUUAAAUCUUAUUUACGUCAAUUAGAAUUAUUAUCACAUGUUUAUCUAGUUAUUUAAAGCAUAAUCCUUCAAAAAUCGUAUGUCUUAGUCUAAUCUUUCAAUAAUCCGUUCAAAUCUCAUUUUCAUCAAUUAUAAUUAUUAUCCUAUAUUAAUCUAUCUAUCUAGUCUAAUCUUUAAAAAACCCCCUGUCUUAAUUUAAUAUUUUAGUAAUUUGUUUAAAUUUUAUUUUCAUCAAUUAGAAUUAUUAUCCCAUAUUCAUCUAUUUAUUUAAAAUCUAAUUCUAAAAAAAUCCCAUGUCUUAAUUUAAUUAUUCAAAUAUUCGUUUAAAUCUUAUGUUCAUCAAUUAGAAUUAUUAUCCUAUAUUCAUCUAUCUAUCUAGUCUAAUCCUUCAAAAAUCCCAUGUUUUAAUUUAAUUCUUUAAAUAUUUGUUUAAAUCUUAUUUUCAUAAAUUGAAUCAUUAUCCCCAUGUUUAUUUAGUUAUUCAAAAGUCUAAACCUUAAAAAAUCCCAUGUUUUAAUUUAAUUCUUUAAAUAUUUGUUUAAAUUUUAUUUUCAUCAAUUAGAAUUAUUAUCCCAUAUUUAUUUAGUUAUUUAAAGUCUAAUCCUUCAAAAAUCCCCUGUCUUAAUUUAAUAUUUCAAAAAUUUGUUUAAAUCUUAUUUUCAUCAAUUAGAAUUAUUAUCCCAUAUUCAUCUAUUUAUUUAAAAUCUAAUUCUUCAAAAAUCUCAUGUCUUAAUUGAAUUUUUCAAUCCUAGAAAUUCUACAAUUCGUUUAAAUUUUAUCCUCAUCAAUUAGAAUCAUUAUCCCAUAUCUAUUUAAAGUCCAAUCUUUCGAAAACCCCAUGUCCUAAUUUAAUUUUCAAUCCCAGAAAUUCCAUUAUUCACCUAAAUGUUAUUCUCAGUAAUUAGAAUUCUUAUCCCUUAUCUAUUUAUUUAUUUAAGGUCCAACUCUUCAAAAAUUCAACGUCCUAAUUUAAUUUUUAAUCUUAAAAAUCCCACUACUCACUUUCUAUUCGUUUAAAAUAUUGUUUCCGUUAAGUAGCAUUAUUAUUCCAUACUAUCUAUUUAAUUUAAUCGUUAAAGUUUAAUUCAUCAGAACCCGACUUCCAAAUCUAAUUUCCAACCUCAAAAGCUCCACCGUCCAAAUAUCGCCGUUCAAUGAUUAUUCUUGUUAUUAAUGUUAUCCCAUCUACUUACUUAUUCCGUUAUUCAUAUACCAAAGAUCUCAUCUCUAAAUAAAUUCUUAAGUUCUCAAACUCUAAGUUCACAUCUUCAAAUCUCUAAAAUUCCAUCUUUCGCAGUUAUUUACCUAAUCUUUAUUAUUUCACCAUCGUUAUUAUUCCAUUCCUUUACUUAUUCACUCAUCCACUUAUCCCCUCAUUUAAAAUCCCGAACUCUCAAAUCAUUUUCAAGUUUCCAAUCUCGUUCAAAUUUAAUUUCUAAAAAUUCUCAUUCUCGCAUUUAAUUUCUGAAAGUCCGAUCUUCAAAUAAACUGUAAAAUUCCAAAUUUUAAGUAACCUUUGAGACUCCAAUUUUUCAAAUGAAUUUCAAAAAUCCGAUUUCCUCUCCAAUUGUUUUUAAUUCCAUUUUUCGAACAAUCCUCUGUUUCUCUUGAUUUCAAUGAGCAUGAAUGAAUUUUUCAUAAUUCCGGAAUAAUAGAAUCUAUGAUAUUAAUUCAUGCAAAAUAAACGGGCUGUGGUGGGGGCCUUACAUGGGUGACUUUAUGAUUGAUUGAUUGAUUGUUUGCUUUGAUUAUCAUACAUGAUUGAUUUACCCUACUCUUUGACAUGCAUGCGAUUAUUCCUAAAUGGUGCAUUGACCCUCUCUAUUGAUAGCGCAUGGUGGCUCGUUGCCCAGGUAUGUACCCAUUUUCCCUCUAAUCGUUGUUUAUGCAUGUCUCGAUUCUUAUGUGUGCAUGAUCAUUAAGGAUAUUCAUUGAUUUAUUCAUCAAUUUCCAUGUCAGCUUCAUUUUAUUAGUAGAGACCCGACUUUAAGGACUUAGAGGGGUGUUAUGGUCUUUACCGUACCUUCCCGAUAAGUAACCUGACCCCCGAGCCCGAUCCAGUUUUUCGUAGAUCACCUUUCCCAAAAUAAGGAGUCGCACUUAGGGUUUUCUUUCUUAUUUUUUUUACCCUUUUAAAAAUAAAACAAAAAUAAGUUGCGACACCAAGUCAUUUUCUUAAUCAAUAAAAAUCAUUUUUCAAAUUAAAAUCGAGCUCACCAUCAAGUGGAAAACGCAUGAGCCGAAAUGCAGGGUCCAUAGAAUCAUUAUUUUUUGAUUUUAUUUUAUUAGACAAAUAAACUACAAAUUAAACAAGACUUAUUACAUUAGACUCAUCAAUGAGUCUAGUAGUUUUUAAAAAUAACUUAAAACUCACAUAGUGAUCCAAUCAAUAUCAGAAAUUGAUGUACAAAAAUUGGUGUAGAACGACUCUUAUUUCUCUUCUACAUAGAAUUAUUAUUUUUCGAUUUUUUUUGUUUGCUAGGCAAAUAAACUCUAAUUUAAACAAAACUUAUUGCAUUGGAUUCAUCAACGAGUCUAUUUUUUUUUUUUAAAUAAUUUAAAACUCAAAUAAUAAACCCAUUAAUAUAAAAGUUUAUGGAUAAAAAUUGGUUUACAAUUACUAUUAUUUCUUUUCUACAAAUAAUUAUAUUUUUAUAAUUUCUCUUAAUAGAAAAAUGAACUUCAAAUCAAGUGAUGCUUUAUAUUAAAUUUAUUAUUGGGUUUAACAAUUUUUAAAAAUAAUUUGGAACUCAACAAAUAGAUCUAAUCACUUAAAAAAACUAAUAAAUUAAAAUUGAUAUAUUAUGAGUCUUGACUUUACUAUUUCUCUAUACACACAACUCUCUCUCUCUCUCUCUCUCUCUCUCUCUCUCUAUAUAUAUAUAUAUAUAUAUAUAUAUAUAUAUAUAUUAAUUUUCUCACUAUGCAAAUAAAUUAUAAAUUAAGUAAGACAUAAUUAAUAAUUUAAAUUCUUUAAUGAAUUUUUAUUUUUAAAUAAUUUGGUUAUCUAAUUUUUAAGAAUAAUUUGGAAUUCAAAAAGUCAAUCUAGUUAAUUUCAAAUUAAAUCAAAAUAUUUUAGAAUAUUAUGUUCAUAAUUGAAUACUAAAUAUGUGCAUCUAAUAAAAAAACUUGGCUCAUUUAUAUGUUAAAAAAUUAAACUUUAUUUGUUAUUCAUUUUAAAUGAAAUAUUAUUAAUAAUUAUUAUUUUAAAAUUAUUGUUAUUCGCUUUUAACAAAAAAUUUACGAAGUUGUUAAUAUCCUUAUGUUUUUAAACAUAUACUAUAAUAUUACUAUUCAUGUUUUACUAAAAACUAUAUAUUUGUUAAUUUAUUUAUAAUUACAAAACUAUUUUCAGUUUUAAUAAGAUCUAGAAUAAAAUUUCACUAAUUUUAUAUAAAUUAAAUUUACAAUAUUUUUACCAUAUUAAAAUAGAAAAAAUAUUUUUAAAAACAACUUAUCCAAAUAAAGUUUUUGUUAUUUAUUUUUAAGAAUUGUUUUUAAAAACAACUUGCUAAAUAUCCUUAUUUUUAUAAAAUACUAAAAAACUGUUUUUGGUUCUUCAACUUAGAAACAAGUCUUUGAAAAUAUCCCUAAAUAUGCAUAUCCAGAACUUACAUGAGGCCUUUUCAUCAAGGAUAUCAAGGCCAUUUUGCUUUAUAUAUACUUGUUUUUCUAUUAGGUUGCCAAGAAAAAUUUUGGAAGUGUACUAGUCUUUUCUUUUUUCCUUUUUCUUUUUACAUAUUUAUGGAAGUGGUUUUGUGUAACACCCCUACCUAGAAUCAAGGAUAUUUAUGUAAUACGCCAAUUAAAUAAAAAAUUAAGAGAAGAUAAGUAAGAUAUUUUUGGUUCCUAUAACUAGUUACUAUCUUUAUCUUGUUAUGAUUUUCUCCCUUCCAAUUCUUCAUCCUUGUUAUUAGGAAUGAUAUAAAAAAAUAUAAAGAGAAUAGAGUUUUUAUGAUUAAUCUUUCAAGGAAAGCAUCUAACCUAUAAAGUUAAUAUUUCGGUCCCAUUUUCGUGGUUGUGUAAAAUAAAUAACCUUGAAUCUUUUAGGUAUUCUCUUGAAAGAUUUGAAUUUAGGAUUAGUUUAUUUAAGAAAAAAAUGAAUAUAGAUAGGUUGAUUUAUCCAUGAAGAUAGGAAAAUUGUAUAGAUCCAAAUCAAUUUAAAAAAUAAAAUAAAAAUCUUUUGCAACAUUAGAAGAAAAAAGUACAAACUUAGAUGGCCUAUUGGUUUAUUGUUACAUGUUUGAAAAAAAGAAAAAUAAAAAGAAAAAUGAGAUAUUUUUAUGGGUUACAACUUUUAUGUUGUAAGUGUUAGGAUAAAGCCCUUGAAAACAUGACAUGAUAUAAUAAAUUUGGAAUUUAUUAUUUAUUUAAUUAUAUUUUAGUUUUACUUUUAUAUUUCCUUGUUUUAAUGCAUUCUAUUUUAUGAGUAUUUUAACCUGUAUUUAUUACAUUUUACAUGACUUGAGUGCAUUAGGAGUUUCAUGGAAGAUCUAAUUCAUAGGUUUUUUACAAGCAAAUGAUUUGUUUACAACCAAAUUGAUUCCACGUGAUGAAAAUGAAGACUGAAGUCGCAAGAAGUAUAAUAAACUCAGAGUCUUUCACUUGAUCACUCGAACCUUGAUCUUGACACACUUCCGAUGGGGAUGGAAGAGAGGGUGGAGACUAUGACUUUCUCUCUCUCUCUCUCUCUCUCUCUCUCUCUCUAGGUGGAUGAAAACUCUCUAGAAAAAACUAUGGAAACCCUAACCUCUAAGGGGGUAUUUACAGGGUUUCCCAUUGGGCUUUAAUAACUUGAACCCACUAAGGCUUAAGUCACUUAACAUAGCUUAAAAUGGGUCAUAAUUGAUUAAUUAACCCAAUAGACUCUACAAAUUAAUCAAUUAGCCCAAUCUAGAGACCUUGUUCACUUACCCUUGUACAACCUUGCAUAAUUACCAAAAUGCCCUUAUGCACAAAAGUGAACUUAAGUCAAUCCAACCCUCAUAACCCAUGCUAACAAAAUAUAUAAGCUCAAAACAGGAACCACUAGGACCUAUAGGAGUAGUAGCUCCCUUAAAAUCCAAUUCUAAAGUUGAUUCAACAACCUACUACAAAGUAUUAAUUGAACUCCAAUAUCCCAUGUAAAUAACAAUGAGACAUUAUGUGCUCGAGUUCGUGAGUUGCUAUCCAUUGUGUCCAAUCUUUCCAUUAAUUGAUAUUCGUAGUCUAAUAAGGUGAAAACUAUCAACCUUUCAAGAUUACCUCUACUAUCUUUUAGUUAUAAACCCUCCUAUUGUGUAUUUAACUAACAUAUCAUACCUUUCCAAGAGCAUGAUGUCAAGUUCCACUUAAGAACUACUAUGACCAUGGUUUACAUGAAUGCACUUUUUUAGGAUCAACCUAUUGGGAUUGAGCCCUUAAAAGUAAGACAUGAUGUAACAAAGUUAGACUUAACUAUCAUUUUUCUAUCCUUUUGGUGUAUUGACAUUGAUUCGAGCAUUCAACCCAUGUCUUUUACAUUGUUCAUGACUUAAGUGCAUUAGGAGUUGCACAGAAGAUACAAGUCAUGGGUUCCUUGUAAGUAGAUAAGUUGUCCACAAUUGGUUCAUAGAUUUAGGCAAUCCAUUAGAGACUGUAGUGCACCAUCUCCUAAUUGGAGGGAUGACUUGUCUUGGUCAUCAUGAUGGGUUUCCCACAGUGAAUGUACUAGUAUAUGUGAUGCACACUAGAUAGGACCUAUAGUGAAUCAUGACGCAAGACUAUCAAUUUUCAUGAUUCACUAAACUACUAUACUGCAUGGACUCUCAUCAUUGAGAGGAUAUUGAGCCUAUGCCAAAAUCAAUAGGAGGCUUUGACCUAUGGGUGAGACCCUAAAGUGGUCAUAUAUCCCUAUGGAUUGGGUCACUAUUAAUGGAGGCGGAUGGCCAUAGGUAUUCUUAAUAAAGGCACCAUAAUAUCUCAUGAGAUUGAGACAAUGUAUCAUCUUGGCUAAUCCAAAGGACAUGUGAUCAUGAAAUAUGUGGCCACAGUAAUUCCUUUAGUGGAAUUUGACUUAUGCUCAUUGGAGUUAGAGUAUGUCAUUUGAUCACAUAAUAAGUGAGAUCUAUAAAUCAAGGAUUUGAGAGUUAAUCUUGAUAAGUGAUAGCACUACCUUGUUAGAUUACGAACACCAGUUCAUAGGGAGUCUAUAUAUAGUGGAUAGUAGGUCACAAACUUGAGCACUUAGUGUCUCGUUGUAAUAUACAUAAGAUAUUGGAAUGUAGUUAACUCUCUGUAGUGGGAUGUUGAUUCAAUUUUAGAAUUUGAUUAUGAGAGAGCUAGUACUCUUAUGGGUCCUAAUGGUCCCUGUUUUGAGUUCAUAUUCUUUGUUGGCAUGGUUUAUAAGGGUUGGAUGGGUUUUUAGUUCACUUUUGUGCAUAAGGGUGUUUUGGUAAUUAUGCAAGGUUGCACAGGGAUAAGUGAGUUGUAUCUCUGGACUGGGUUAAUUGAUUAAUUAGGCCUUAUAUGGUUAAUUAACCAAUUAAAAAUCUUUUUAGGCUAGAUUAAGUGACCCAAGCCCAUGGUGGACUUAAGUCACUUAAGCCUAGUAAGAAGUCUAUAAAUUCCCCUUUAAGGGUUAGGGUUUCUAAGUCUUGCUAUUCUCCCCUUCAAUAUAAAGUGAACCUCUACCCUUGAGAUCUCCACCAUCUUAGUGCCUAGACACCAAAAAAAGUUAUCUGGCAGAAGAUCAUGGUGUUUACGAGAUCCAUUACAACUUUAGAGUUAUCUUCACCGUAAGAAAUUGAUAUGGGAACAUUCAGAUCUAGGUAUGAACAUUUUUUUUUUUAGUUCUAUGUUUUUUAUGAUAUCAAUAUUGGUUUUUGAAUAACUAUUUAUUCGUUGCGAUAGAUUUAGAGAGCCUAGGAUAGAUUUUCAUGCACACAUAAGCCAAGGGAACCACCCAUAAGCCAAAAGGCUUCCUUUGUUGCUAUGAAAAUAACAAAAGACCACUUAGAGUGUACACAUACCCAGAGGUAGACUUGCGAGAGUCUUUAUCAGAUUAAAGUCCGAUUUCUCGGUACAAAAGGAGUACCAACUCAUCGUAAAGACUCAAAAACAUAUAAUCCUUCGUUCUCCAAAGAUACUAGAGUGUAUGUUUGACAUCCACCCAAAGCUCUAAUUAGGAAAUUGACUAAUAUUCACUCAUUAUUCCUACAAUAAAGAAAAUAUUUAGUUUAGCACAUAGCAUCACAUACUUAAGGUUAUCCAUUACAAAGGCAUUGGAUACCACCUUAAUGCGAUCUUUCUCCUUAGAUGUCCAAUGACAUUAUUCCUAAGAAAGACAACUCCAAAUCCAAAGAGUAACAAACUCUUCUUGGAGUUUUGCAUCAUAUGCUUGACCAAAUGUUUAUCUAUGUAGGUGACAUGAUGCAAUUUUCCUAUUCUUGUAUAAAAGACUUUAACCCCAAGGAUAUAUUGUGUCUUCUUCUAGAUUUUCAUCUAGAAUUGAGUAGACUACCAGAUCUUGACUGAUGACAAUAUCCUUACUUCAUAUCCAAUGAGUAGAUUAUCAUCUAUCUAGAAGAUCUUAGAGCAUCGCAAUGCUUCCUUAUGCCUUAUUGUACACACAAGGCCCUUUGCUAUGAAAAUGUUUGGUUGUUGUAUCUUACAAAUGUGACACACUGCAAUAGAUAGGAGUAAUUUGAUGGAUUUAAGUAUGACUAUUGUUGAAAAGGUUUUCCGAAGUCGAAACAAAGUUUCAAACUAUAACCUUUAGCUACAAUCUUAGCCACAUAAAACUCAAGCUUUCCAUAUUCUCUUGUGUUCCUCUUGUAGACCAACUUACACCUACGGGUUUUAUCCCUUUAGGUGUUUCUGUAAGAACCCAAACUAUGUUAGAAUACAAAGAUUCUAACUACCUCUUCAUAGCUCCUUGCCUUAAGUGAGCACAAACACUACUCAUUGCUUCAUCAUAAUCUAUGGGAUAUGAACCUCCCAUUAUGAUAAGGCACUAGUGUACUAGAAAUCAUAGGAUUGGUAUGUCUUUAACCCUCUGGAUCCAUAGUAUCCUAUGCAAUGUGGGACUAUCUUCUAAUAUAUCCUCCAAUUUGUAUCACUCUUUGCCUCAAUCCUUAUCAUGUAAUCUUCACAAACAAUCUGACAUUUAUGUUAACAAAUAUCUUAUGAUGAUCCUAAUUAUAAAGGUAAUAACCCAAAAAUCCUCUUAGAUAUCCUAUAAACUAAUAUACAUUUUAAAAAAAAAGAGAUAUUACACUGUCUAUAAGACAUAUCCUCAAAAGAAUCCAAGAAAAGAUGAGAAACCUGUCCAUGAUCUUACUAUGUUUAACCAAGUUUGAUAUCUUCUUUCCACCUCUCCAUUUUGCAAUGGAGACCCUAGUGCACAUGACUAGGAAAUAAUCUUGUGCUCCAAUGAAAAAAAUCAAACUUAUUCGAUAUAUCACCUUGAUCUAAUCGAAGUGACUAGUAAUGUAUACCUAAUAGGUUAUCUGAUCCCGCCUUAAAUUCAAUGAAUGUAUCCAAGGCAUCGGAUCUCCAAUGUAUACAUUCAAACCUAGAGUAAUCAUCACUAAAAGUGAUCAAAUACCCAUACCCUCCCCAUGCAUGGACACUAAAAGUUCCAUACAUAUCAGUAUGCACUAACUUCAAACAUUUGUUGGCUCUAGUCUUCUUGGUCAUUUUACCAUCUAUAUAGGAUUUAUAGACUGAAAGAUCUUUUGGAAUCAAAGAGUCCAAACUUUACCAAUCUUUGGAUCCUAUUUAGAUUAAUAUGACCUAGGUCUAGAAACCAAAUGUUUAGUUAGUGCUGGGUUUAAUCCUAACAUCUAACUAUUCUUAUCACUUGGCAAAGUAAUAAUGGAAUACAUAUAAAGAAAGAGGAUAUUACCUCCCACUAAAUUGCAUAACUAACCUUGCAUUUGAAGCUAAGGUAAGUAUAAUCCUAUCAUUUAACCUUCUCACUUGUUGAAUAUCCUAUAAGGACUUAUAGAUAAUGGGCUUGGAAUCUAUCCACCAUAAAUGGUGAAAUCCAUCACUAAAUAUUCAACAAUGAGAAAAUAAUAUAUACUUUCCUUUUUUCCUUUAGGUAAACUAUAAAUUCCUUUUCUAGUGUCCUAAAAGGUCACAAAGGAGGCAUUUUCCCUUGUGCUUGCUCUCUUAUUCCUUCUCUUGAACCUUCCUUAUUUGAUAUUGUCCUUCUUCUUCUUGAGAGAAGAACCUAAAGAACCUUUGAUUUCCAUAUGAACGCCCUAUAAUAUUUGAGAAUCCCCUUAACCACCCCAAAGGAAAAUGGCAAGGUCUUUAAGAUCAUAUGUAUACCUGGUGUUCAUAAUGGUUCUAAGAGUAGCUUGUCAGAGCAGACUUACCCUUAUCACCAAAUAACCAUUGCAAACUAGAAAGAGAAUAUCAAAGUCUCUAGUAAUAGACAUAUGUUGCUAUUGUAACACAUUAUCCAAAGAUCCAAGUAUUAGACACUUGGUCUUUUGAUCAGUUUAAUACCACCUUGAUAUACCACUAUUUCCUUUUGCUAGGUUAGUUAAAAAGGAAUAGCUAGCUUUACCUAAACUAGCUCCUAUGUAAUUUGUUACUAUAUCCAGAAUAAAAUUAGUCCAAUUGAUUAGUUAGGCUUGCCCUAUUGUGAGAAGAAGAGUGAUAAUAGAACCAACAUGAUAUCUGUAACAAAGAAUAUAACUAAGCAUAUGACAUAAUUGAGCAUUCAUGGCAAUUGGUAAUUAAUUUAGCAAAAAUGUAGUGGUCUAAAACUACAUGUCCUUUUGCAAGGUAUCUAGUAUUAUAAGAAUCAAGCCUACAUGAGGCAGGUCACCUUAUAACUAGUUAGAGACCCUCUUAGAUUGAUCUCUUAACCUUAACCAUAAAGGUAUCUAAAAGCAAAAUCAACAUACCUUUUAUUUGGCACAUGGACUAUUCAAGUGGGAUUGCGUGGGGGCAAUUCUACCACUUCAUAUCCAUUGUCAAGUGUAUAACCAUUAUCCUUGAACUAUCAAUGUCAUCAAGUAAAGAAUCCCAUCAUGGGGGUGGUCCCUCCUACUAUAAACAUAUUUAAUCUCGUCCAUGUGGAGAGCCAUAUCUCUUGAUUCUUAGAGAUAACCCAUUGUGGGGGUGGUGAUGAACCCAAAUCAAGAUGGGCUCAAUAAUGGAGGCCGUGGGCUUGCCUAAGGCCCUCUCCCACUUAGUCUUUUGAGAUAAAUAAGAGCAUUUUAAAACCAAUAGUAAUUUCCCUAAUGCAUAAAUUAUCUAUUUUGAAAAUUUCCAAAAACAUAUGUUUCAUAAUUGGAAACCUAGUGUAAGAGGAGAAUACCAACAUGAAAAAUUUAAAAUUUCCAUGAGAGUAAGUUUCAAAAAUAAUUUUGAUAAAAUAUCCACUCUAAAAAAUUUUAAAACUAUUUUCAUACCAUUCUCCUUGUAUACACAAUUCCAGUAAGGAAAUUACCAAUUUAUGAGACUUUGAAUAAUCUUGAGAGCACCUUAUCCAAGAAAGGAACUUUUGCUUCUAAUAAAAAAUCCUCGUAAGAUUUACUUUCCUUAUUCCUUGCACUUUCCAACUUAAUAAAUAUUUCCAUGGAAAUUCCAUAAUAAUUUAUUCCAUUAAAUACUACAAAAAAUAGAACCUUUUAGUAAUUCUGUAAUAUAUAAAAUAUUUUCUAUGAAAAUCUUCCAAAAAUUUUUAUUUCCAAAAAGGAAUUAAACAAUCCAUUUUGGAAAGUAUUUUCAAAAUAUUUUAUAUCUCCAUUAAAUUACUAACACUUUCCAAAGUUAUUUUGGUAAACCUUCGUAUAAUAAAUUAUCUAUCAUGAGAUUUUCCAAAUCUAUUAUUUACUUUUAAACCGAAACUCCUAUGCUAAAAGAAUUGCUAUCUUAUUCCUUAUUAUUGAAUUAUCCAAACAAAAUGGUUUCCUCAUUCUCUCUAGGGGAGAGAGCUUGGAGAAACAACUAUAAGCAUAGUUUUCCUUAUCUUAUCAAGAAAAAACAAGAAAACAUCCUAAAGUUUUUUUAAAAAUAGAUAGUUUUAAAUAAAUAACAAUCUUAUUAGCAACAACGAGUUUAAAUAAAUAAUAUUGGAAAAUAUCUUCUCAUAAAAAUUUACUAAGAAUACCAAAAAACUUUUCUUUGGGUUCUAAUACUUAUUUUGGUAACUAUUUUAAUUAUAAAUUAUCUACCAUUAAUUUCCAAAAUUAACUUAUUUUCUUUAAAUUGGAAAUCCUAUGCAAAAUAGGAAAAACACUAUUUUAUAUAGAUUUGGAAAAAUAAGAGCUUUUCCUUAAAAGAAAGAUUUUAUUCUUAGAGAUCUCAAAUAUUUGAAAAUAUUUUAAAUAUAAUUAAAAUCUCUAAGAAUUUAUUUUAAAAAGGUAAGAAAGCUCUUAAUCCUUUUUCCAACUUAUCUUUUCUUUGAAAUAAAUUUUCCUAACCAUGCACAUUCCAAUUUAAAUAAAUUUCCAAUUUUGAAAAAAGCAUGAAAAUUUAUUUCCAAUUAAGAAUACCAAAAUAUCUUGAGGCCACAUAUGCAAUUAAUCAAGAACGUAUAAUAAAACAAGGGAAUAAAAAAAUAGAAACCUUUUUUCAUGGCCUUUAAGGAUACUGUUGCAUAUUUGGUAAUUAAAAUUUGUAUAAAAUCCAAAUUACCAAAAUUAAUCCUACAACCACAAAUUGGGUUAGUUAAAAUAGAAAACCUAAAAGGGCCAAUUUCCACCAAAAAUUAAUCCUAAGAAGCUCGGACAAAAAAAAAUAAAAAAUUGGACCCAUAUGCAAUCCCAUAACAACAUACUCUUUCCACAACAUUGCAUGCUUCAAUUAGCAAUAUCUCCCUCGUUUCAACUCCGAAUUGUGAUCCGUUUGAAGCGUUGGAUUUCUAAAUUCUCAAGAUUCAAAAUGAUAUGUGAUUUUCUAUGAGAAAAUAAUUGAAAGCAACCUCGAUUAUGGCUCAAAGUCGACGUCAUUUUGCUGCCAUGCACUUUGCACAAACUUGCUUCAUUCGACCACAUCUUCCUCAUUUCAACUCCGAAUUGCAAUCCAAUUAAACCAUUGGAUUCAUGAAUUCACAAUAUUCAAAUCCAUAUAUAGCUUACCCCAAGAAACUAUUGGGAGUUAGUCUUGAUUUUGAGUUCAAGUCAAUGUCACCAAGGAUCUCAAACUAAGAAUUUCCAAGAAUGCUUAUUUUUUCUUUAACCACCAUAGAAUCUAAAAAAAAAAUGAAAUUUUUGCAACAAUAAAAAUUUCUAUGCUUCUUUAAUGGAGCUUACAACCCAUUUAUUGAAAAGCAAAGAUUUUUACAACCAAAUAAAAAUUCUAUACCCUUUAUGGGGUGUACAACCCAAUCUAAAGAACAAUAAGGCAUAGAUCAUAUUCAAUCAAAUGAACAAAUAACAAUCAAUCACAAUUAGAAUCAUCAUAUUGACAUUCAUUCAAUUGAACAAAUAAAAACAUUUGAUUCUUUCAUCCCUUUGGGCCAUGGGAUGAAUAAAACAACCCUACAAAACAGAGUAAACACACCUUAGAACAGAUCUAAGAUGCUAGAACCUAACCUGUCUCUAAUACCAGUUGUUGGGAACUCUGGAUUACUCCAUUUCCAUGCCUUGGAUCAUGUAAGGUGCAAUAAAACCUAUCCUAGGCUCUCUAAAUCUAUCGUAGCAAAUAAACAGGUAUUCGAAAACAAAUAUUGAUUCCAUAGAAAACAUAGAUAUAGAGAAACAAUGCUCAUACUUUGAUCUGGAUGUUCUUAGAUAAAUUCCUUACAGUGAAGAUAACUCUAAAGUCAUAAUGGAUGUUGUAAACACCAUGAUCUUCCACUGUGAUAGAUUUAAAAAGCCUAUGAUAGAUUUUCAUGCACCCUACACGAUCUAAGCCAUGAGAACAUAGUAAUCUAGGGUUCUUGUAGACCCCUCAUUUUGCCCACGACACACAUAGGCUACUAUCCAAGUAAAUCAUUGUAAUUCAUCAACUUGUAGUCUCCGAUUCUUCUUCAGAAGCUUUUUGGAGGAUAAAUUACAGAACUUUGAUGUGAUCAUCUAAACCUUUGAAUUUGUAACUUAAAGUUUUCUGAUUAUUCAAACUUAUCAUUAACCAUAAACUAAAACAAAAAUAUUAAAUAAUUCUUUUAAAACAAAAUAAAAUAAGUUGUCUUCUUAAACAAUACACAUGCCAAAAUACUCAUUUAUUUAUUUAUUUUCUUUAAUAAUUCAUGACCAAAUAAAUAAUAAAAUAAAAUAAAAUAAAAUAAAAAUAUAAUAAUAAUAAUAUUAAUAAUAAAUUAAAUAAAUAAAUAAAUAAAUAAAAAUAAAAAUAAAACAUAGCAACGUUGAAAUUCAAUUUUGUUAAUACUAUCUAAUUCAUGUUUUAAAAUAUAAACUAAAAAUAAAUCUUUUUUUUAAUAAUAAACAAAUAUAUCAUGAACCUCAAAUAAAAAUAUACAUGAGUUCAUAAUAACUAGCAAAAUUCACACUCAAGAUAAAUCAUUUUUUUUAAUAAACACAAAAUUUAUAUAUUUUCAUAAAUUAUUCUAUAGUUACCAUUGAAGGUUUAUUAUUAUUAUUUAUUUUAUAUAUAUAUAUAUAUAUAUAUUAUAUUUUUUCUAACUCAUGCACCACUCACCUUUAUCUUUUCUUUUAUAUAUAUGCACUAGCUACAACCCCAUCAAUGCUAUCACAUCUCUCUGCCACAAUCCAAUUUUGGCUUCCCACACCACCUCAACACAUAUCCAUCAAUCCGACCUAUUCCCCAUGCCGUAGCCAUACUUUUAAUUGCCCAAGACACACCUCAAAUUAACCCUCACCAAGCUGCCUAUCUCCUACAAUAGCUCAUUUUCUUAGUUGCCCAAAAAACCUAUCUCUAUCAUACUCACUUAUCUUUUAUUCCUACCACAACCACACACUCUCUCAAGCUAUCGAAACUACAUCAAUUCACCUUCUAGCUGCCCUACCCCACUGUAUGUGAACCAUUAGCUCUCUUUUACAAGUUGUAGCAGUCAUAAUCAAUAGCACCUCCAUGUUUAGCUUGUAGAUUAAUUCUGAAUUUUUUUUAAUAAACAUAAAAUUUAUAUAUUUUCAUAAAUUAUUCUAUAGUUACCAUUGAAGGUGUUUUUUUUCUAACUCAUGCACCACUCACCUUUAUCUUUUCUUUUAUAUAUAUGGACCUACUACAACCCCAUCAAUGCUAUCACAUCUCUCUACCACAACCCAAUUUUGGCUGCCCAAGAUCACCUCAACACAUAUUAAUCAAUUCGUCCUAUCCCCCAUGUCGUGGCCAUACUUUUAAUUGCAUAAGACACACCUCAAAUUAACUCCCACCAAGCUACCCAUCUCCUGUAAUAGUUCAUUCCUAAAAAGCCUAUCUCUAUCAUCCUUACUUGUUCUUUAUUCCUACCACAACUGCACUCUCUCUUAAGCUACUGAAACUAUAUCAAUUCACCUUCUAAUUGGCCUACCCCACUGUAUCUGAACCAUUAGCACUCCUCUACCAGUUGUAGCAGCUGUAAUCAAUAACUCCCCCAUGUUUAGUUUGUAGAUGAAUUCUGAAAUUAUUUUUUUAAUAAACACAAAAUUUAUAUAUUUUCAUAAAUUUUUCUAUAGUCAUUAAAGGUUUUUUUUUUCUAACUCAUGCACCACUCACCUUUAUAUUUUCUUUUAUAGAUAUGCACCUACUACAACCCCAUCAAUGCUCAAAUUAACUCCUACCAAGCUGCCAUCUCUUGCAAUAGUUCAUUUUUUUUUUAUCUAACCAAAAAACCUAUCUCCAUCAUUCUCACUUGUCAUUUAUUCCUACCACAACCACACUCUCUCUUAAGCUACCAAAACUACAUUAAUUCUCUUUCUAGUUGCUCUACCUCACUGUAUGAGAACCAUUAGCUCUCCUUUACCAACUGUAGCAGCUAUAAUCAAUAGCACAUCCAUGUUUAGCUUGUAGAUUAAUUUUGAAAUUAUUUUUUUAAUAAACACAAAAUUUAUAUAUUUUCAUAAAUUAUUCUAUAGUUACCAUUGAAGGUUUUUUUUUUAAUUCAUUCACCGCUCACCUUUAUAUUUUCUUAUAUAUAUACACUUGCUAUAACUCCAUCAAUGUUAUCACAUCUCUCUACCAAUGCUUAAAUUUGGCUGCCUAAGACCACCUCAACACAUAUCCAUCAAUCCGUCUUAUCCUCUAUGCCGUAGCCAUAAUUUUAACCACCCAAGACACACAUCAAAUUAACCCCACCAAGCUGCCCAUAUCCUGCAAUAGUUUUUUUUUUUGUUGCACAAAAAGCCUAUGCCUAUAUUCCUCACUUGUUCUUUAUUCCUACCAUAACCACACUCUCUCUUAAGCUAUCGAAACUACAUCAAUUCACAUUCUAGCUACCCUACCCCACUAUAUGUGACCUAUUAGCUUUCCUCUACCAAAUAUAGCAGCCCUAAACAAUAUCACCUCUAUGUUUAGCUUGUAGAUGAAUUCUGAAAUUAUUGUUUUAAUAAACACAAAAUUUAUAUAUUUUCAUAAAUUAUUCAAUAGUUACCAUUAAAGGGUUUUUUUUUCUAACUCAUGCACCACUCACCUUUAUCUUUUAUUUUAUAUAUAUGCACCUGCUACAACCCCAACAAUACUAUCAUAUCUUUCUUCCACAACCCAAUUCUUGCAGCUCAAGACCAUCUCAACACAUAUCCAUCAAUCUGUCCUAUCUCUCCUGCUGUAGCGAUACUUUUAACUAGCCAAGGCAAACCUCAAAUUAACCCUUACCAAGCUACCCAUUUCCUACAAUAGUUCAUUUUUUUUACUGCCCAAAAAACCUACCUUUAUCAUCCUCAAUUGUCUUUUAUUCCUACCACAACCAUACUCUCUCUUAAGCUACCGAAACUACAUCAAUUCACCUUCUAGAUGCCUUACCCCAUUAUAUGUGAACCAUUAGCUCUCAUUUACUAGCUGUAGUGGCCAUAAUAAAUAGCACCUCCAUGUUUAGCUUGUAGAUUAAUUCUGAAUUAUUUUUUUCAUAAACACAAAAUAAUAAAAAAUUACUAACUGAAGAUUUUUUUUCUAACUUAUGCACUACUCACCUUUAUCCUUACUUUUAUAGAUAUGCCCCUGCUACAACCCCAUCAAUACUAUCACAUCUCUCCGCCACAACCCAAUUUUGGCUGUCCAAGACCACCUCAACACAUAUCCAUUAAUUCGUCCUAUCCCCCAUGUCGUAGCCAUAAUUUUGACAACCCAAGACACACAUCAAAUUAAUCCCCAUCAAGCUGCCCAUCUCUUGUAAUAGUUCAUUUUUUUUAGUUAUCCAAAAAACCUAUAUCUAUUUCCCUCACUUGUCAUUUAUUCCUACCACAACCACACUCUCUCUUAAACUACCGAAACUAUACCAAUUCACCUUAUAGCUACCUUACCCCACAGUAUGUGAACCAUUAGCUCUCCUUUACCAGAUGUAGUAGUCGUAAUCAAUAGCAUCUCCAUAUUUAGCUUAUAGAUUAAUUUUGAAAUUAUUUUUAUAAUAAACAUAAAAUUUAUAUUUUUUCAUAAAUUAUUCUAUAGUUACCAUUGAAAGUUUUUUUUUUUCUAAUUCAUGCACCACCCACCCUUAUUUUUUCUUUUAUAUAUAUGCAUCUGCUACAACCCCAUCAAUUUUAUCACAUUUCUCAACCACAACCUAAUUUUAGCUGCCCAAGACCACCUUAACACAUAUCCAUCAAUCCUUCCUAUCCCCUAUGCCAUAGCCUUACUUUUAACUACCCCAGUCACACCUCAAAUUAACCCUCACCAAGCUGCCCAUCUAAUACAAUAGUUUAUUUUUUUUUGCUGCUCAAAAAACCUAUCUCUAUCAUCCUCACUUAUCCUUUAUUCCUACCACAUACAACUAGACUCUCUCUUAAGCUAUCGAAACUACAUCAAUUUACCUUUUAGUUGCCCUACCCCACUGCGUGUGAACCAUUAGCUCUUCUUUACCAAUUGUAGCAGUCGUAAUCAAUAGCACCUCCAUGUUUAGCUUGUAAAUGAAUUUUGAAAUUAUUGUUUUAAUAAACAAAAAAUUUAUAUAUUUUCAUAAAUUAGUCUAUAGUUACCAUUAAAGGGUUUUUUUUUUUUUUUUGCUAACUCAUGCACCAAUCACCUUUAUAUUUUAUUUUAUAUAUAUGCACCUUCUACAACCCUAACAAUACUAUCACAUCUCUUUGGCACAACCCAAUUUUGGCAACCCAAGACCUCCUCAACACAUAUCCAUCAAUUCGUCCUAUCCCCCAUGUCGUAGCCAUACUUUUAACUGCCCAAGACAUACCUAAAAUUAACCCCCACCAAGAUGACCAUCUCUUGCAAUAGUUCAUUUUUUUUAACUGCCCAAAAAACCUACCUUUAUCAUCAUCACUUGUCCUUUAUUCCUACCACAACCACACUCUCUCUUAAGCUAUCAAAACUACAUCAAUUCAGCUUCUAGCUGCCUUACCCCACUGGCUGUAAACCAUUAGCUCUCAUCUACUAGCUAUAGCAGCCGUAAUCAAUAGCACCUCCAUGUUUAGCUUAUAGAAUAAUUAUGAAUUUUUUUUUCUUAGACACAAUUUAUAUCUUUUCAUAAAUUAUUCUACAGUUAUAAUUGAAGAUUUUUUUUUUUUUUCGAAUUCAUGCACCACUCACCUUUAUCUACUCUUUUAUAUAUAUGCACCUGCUACAACCCCAUCAAUGUUAUCACAUCUCUCUACCAUAACCUAAUUUUGGCUGUCCAAGACCACCUCAACACAUAUCCAUCAAUUCGUCCUAUCCCCCAUGCUGUAGCCAUACUUUUAACUACCUAAGAAUUACCUCAAAUUAACCCCCACAAGCUGCCUGUAGACCCUCAAUUUUGUCCCUCGACACUGGCAUUUAUCCUUUGGGUGUCACAUCCACCCAUCGUUCGCAUAUGGCACCACUAGGGCCCCUUUUGGGCUUAGUCGGUGUCCGAGCCUCGUGUGGGUUUGUCUGUGGUCCAUUGUGGUGCAUAUGUGGUUCAUUUUGGAGGGUCACCAUGGCCAUUUUCCUAGUCGUUCACAUCAUGCUAUAGGAAGGAAGUGGGGUCAUCCCGAUGUUUUAGCUUAGUUGGAGUUUAUAGGGGCAUGUUGAGGUUCGGAGCACUCGGGCUUGUUUUGAUCGUAUCUCCCUCAUCCAAACUCGGAAUCAAGAACCGUUUAUUUUUAUGGAUUCCUUAUUCUUCCAGGAACAUUUUGUGAAAUUUUCAAAAUUUUUUGCAACCGGUCGGCUGGUUGGCAGCCGGUUCAGCCGGUUCAUCAGGUCAGCCAGUGUAGAACACUGAUUUUUGGUAAUUGUUUUGAUCAUAUCUCCCUCUUCCGAACUUGGAAUCAUGUACCAUUUUUUUUAAUGGAUUUAUUACUCUACUAAGAACAUUCUGUCAAAUUUUCAGAAUUUUUUUCCAUCGGGUCGACCAGUUGGCAUCCGGUUCGGCCGGUUCAGCCAGUUCAUUGAGUCAGCUGAGGUAAAACACUAAUUCUAGUAAUUUUGAGGCCCAAAUCCUACAUGGCUCAGGCCCGUAAGCUCUAGAUCGGUUUUGGGCAAUGUUGUGGGUCCAUUUUAGGCCUUGGUUUGGGUUCCUUGCAGCCCACCACGAAUCCAUAUGGAUUCUUGGUGGUGAAGCAAGCUGAAAACUGAAGGAGUGAGCUGGCCUUGUAAGUUUAAGAGAAGUAAUGAGGGGUGUGGUUCCCAUGCUGAUGAAGGGGAUUUCGGUGCUGAAGGGGAAGGAAUCCAGGAGGCUCAAAUGCUAAGAGGGGAUGAGUAUAAAAGGUGUAAGGAUAAGAGAGCAAAGGGGAGGAGGGGACAUUUUGGAGAGGAGAAAUUUUGCUGGUGAGAAAAACAAAAGGUCAGUAGCAUCUUCUGAGUUGAGAGUGUGGGGGAAAGCUUCAGCACUGUGGUUUUUUUGAAGAGGAGAGUGACAACAUCUCAGUUUUGGAAGUCAUCAUCUACAUACACAGAUCAUAUUUAGUGGAGUUUCUGAGGUAAGCAUGCUGAAUUUUCUUUACUUACAACUUAUCUUCCUCGUCUUCAUAUGCUUUUUCUCCUUCCUCAUCAUCUUUUCUUCCCUUUGAUAUGAAGAUUGUAUUGCUUGGGUGUGGACAAUAAGGGCCACACAUGAUUGUUGUUGUUUGCUUCCUUAAUCACUUAGGAAUUUUCUGACCGAAUUUGGGAUUCUUUACCAAUCGGCUGAAUCGGUUUGGAAUCUGUUCAACCGGUUCAGCACCAUAGCUGGCAGCCUCUGUCAGCCAUGAGGAACACUUGCCUUUCUUUGUCUGGUUCUCACUCAUCCGGGGUCAGAAUUGAGAACCAUUUCUUUUGUUUGUUUCCUUAAUCACUUAGGAACUUUCUAACCGAAUUUGGGAUUUUUUACCAACUGGCUGAACUGGUUGGGAACCGGUUCAACCGGUUCAGCACCAUGGCUGGCAGCCUCUGUUAGCCAUGAGGAACACUUGCCUUUCUUUGUCUGGUUCUCACUCAUCCAGGCUUGGAAUUGAGAACCGUUUCUUUUGUUUGCUUCCUUAAUCACUUAGGAACUUUUUGACCGAAUUUAGGAUUUUUUAUCAGCCGGAUGAACUAGUUGGGAACCGGUUCAACCGGUUCAGCACCAUAGCUGGCUGCCUCUGUCAGCCAUGAGGAACACCUGCCUUUCUUUGUCUGGUUCUCACUCAUCCGGGCUUGGGAUUGAGUGUCGUUUCUUUUGUUUGAAUCCUCACUAAUUUAGGAGUUUUCUAGAAAAAUUUGGGAAUUCUUCUCAAUAGGUUGUACCAGUUGAGAACUAGUUCAACUUGUUCUGCUGGAGAACUUUAGGUAGCCCUCGAUUUUGGCAUUUUUCGAGCCCUUAUCCAUGGGGGCUCAAACCCAUUUGCUAUAGGGCACUUGUGAGCCAUCUUGAAGGUUUAAUUCAAUGUUUCAUUUCAGUUAGUAUGGGCAAUUUUGAAGUUAUGGGUGGUGUGGUCUAGAUGAGUCUAGUUUGAUUUGUAUGACAUUUGGGGAGUCCCUUACCUCAUUUCAACCAGCUAUCUUCCUUUUUGGCACAAGCUUUGAUGCUUGAUUUUGAAUACAUGUUGCGUGACUGACUCACCCUUUGCUGUAGCGCUUGGCUAGAGACCACAGGUACGCAUCGUUGGCUUUGGUUGUUGAAUUCAUAUGCAUGCAUGGUGCUUAAUCUUGAAUGUUUGUUAUGUGUUUAUCUGUGUUUGGCUGACCUUUUAUGCAGCGCUUGGCUAGGGACCACAGGUACGCACCCAUUGUUUUGUUUGGUUGAAUUCAUAUGCAUGCCAAAUACCAAUUAGGAUUGUGUGAUUCAUGACAUCUAUUUAGCCUAGGGUUUCAUUUGACCUUUGACCCAUAUGCUCCCACAUACCCAAUUCAUUAGUAAAGACCGAGUUUCGGGCCUAGAGGGGUGCUACCUCGCAUGAAGUACCUUCCCAAUGGGUAACCUGAUCCCCGGACCCAGAAUCUAGUUUUCGUAGACCGCUUUUUCCAUACUGGGGUCAUUAGGGGUUUUUGUUCUUACUUAAUUUUCCCCAUUUUAAAAACAAAAAUAAAAAGUAAGUGGCGACUCCAAGCGACACCGUUCCUCACCGGGGGCGGGUUUUUCAAAAUUGGAAAACACCAACUUUUUCAUUUCUUUCUUUUCUUUUAAAAGUGAGUCGCGUCGGUUCGGUGGAUCGGGUGAGGGUCCACACUGCCCAUCUCUUGCAAUGAUUUUUUUUUUUUUUUUUGUUGCCCAAAAAACCUAUCUCUAUUAUCCUCACUUGUCUUUAUUGCUACCACAACCAUGCUCUCUCUUAAGCUAUCAAAACUACUUCAAUUCACUUUCUAGCUGCCUGACCCCACUAUAUGUGAACCAGUAGCUCUACUGUAAUAACUGUAGUAGCCGUAAUCAAUAACACCUCCAUGUUUAGCUUGUAGAUUAAUUUUGAAAUUAUUUUUUUAAUAAACACAAAAUUUAUUUAUUUUCAUAAAUUAUUCUAUAGUUACCAUUAAAGGUUUUUUUUUUUCCUAAUUCAUGCACCACUCACCUUUAUCUCUUCUUUUAUAUAUAUAUGCACUUACUACAACCCCAUCAAUAUUAUCACAUCUCUAUACCACAACCUAAUUUUGGCUGCCCAAGAACACCUCAACACAUAUCCAUCAAUCCAUCCUAUCCCCCAUGUUGUAGCCAUACUUUUAACUACCCAAGACACACCUCAAAUUAACCCUCACCAAGCUGCCCAUCUCCUCUAAUAGUUCAUUUUUUUUAACUAACCAAAAAACCUACCUUUAUCAUCCUCACUUGUCCUUUAUUCCUACCACAACCACACUCUCUCUUAAGCUACCUAAUCUACAUCAAUUCACUUUCUAGCUGUCUUACCCCACUGUAUGUGAACCAUUAGCUUUCAUCUACCAACUGUAGCAACUGUAAUCAAUAGCACUUCCAUGUUUAACUUGUAGAUUAAUUAUGAAUUUAUUUUUGUCGUAAACACAAAAUUUAUAUCUUUUCAAAAAUUAUUCUAUAGUUACCAUUGAAGUUUUUUUUUUUCUAAUUCAUGCACCACUCACCUUUAUCUUUACUUUUAUCGAUAGGCACUUGCUGAAACCCCAUCAUUGCUAUCAAAUCUCUUUGCCACAAACCAAUUUUGGCUGCCUAAAACCACCUCAACACAUAUCCAUCAAUUUGUCUAAUCCCCCAUGAUGUAGCAAUAAUUUUAAUUGCCCAAGGCACACCUCAAAUUAACCCCCACCACCCAUCUCUUACAAUAGUUCAUUUUUUUUAGCUACCCAAAAAACCUAUAUCUAUUAUCCUCACUUGUCAUUUCUUCUUACUACAACCACACUCUUUCUUAAAAUACCGAAACUUCAUCAAUUCACCUUGUAGCUGCCCUACCCCACUGUAUGUGAACCAUUAACUCUCUUCUACCAUCUAUAGUAGUCGUAAUCAAUAACACCUCCAUGUUUAGCUUGUAGAUUAAUUUUGAAAUUAUUUUUUCAAUAAACACAAAAUUUAUUUAUUUUCAUAAAUUAUUCUAUAGUUACCAUUAAAGGUUUUUUUUUCCUAAUUCAUGCACCACUCACCUUUAUCUCUUCUUUUAUAUAUAUAUGCACUUACUACAACCCCAUCAAUGUUAUCACAUCUCUAUACCACAACCUAAUUUUGGCUGCCCAAGAACACCUCAACACAUAUCUAUCAAUCCAUCAUAUCCCCCAUGCCAUAGCCAUACUUUUAACUACCCAAGACACACCUCAAAUUAACCCUCACCAAGCUGCCCAUCUCCUGCAAUAGUUCUUUUUUUUCUAGCUGCCCAAAAAACCUAUCUUUAUCAUCCUCACUUGUCCUUUAUUCCUACCACAACCACACUCUCUCUUAAGCUACCGAAACCAAUGUUUUCAGAACCGGACCGGUCAUCGAACUAGAAAAGUUACUGAUUCAUGGUUCGCUGGUUGGACCAGUGGUCGAAUUGUGAUCGAAUCGGUGACGUCAUAAAUAUGUAAUUUAUAUAUUAUUAAAAUUAAAAAUAAUUAUAAAAAUUUUAAAAUAUAUAUGAAUAAAUUAAAAAUCAAUAAUAUUAUUUUAUAUCUUUGAUAUUAUCAAAUUAAAUCAUAUUAAUAUUUUAAAUUUUAUUAAAUGAAAUAUGUAUGAUAUUUAAAUGUGAAUAUAUUAAAAAUGAAAAUUUAAACUAAUUUUAUAAUUUUUAAAAAUCUUAUAUUAUUUUUAUUUAAUUUUAUAAAAAAUGUUAAAAUCUAAUAUAUAUUGUUUUGUUUGGCAUGUUAGAUAAUCAAAUGCAUGUAGCCGAGUGGUGUCCUAUUCUAAUGGUAGAACCUGAGGUGCAAGGUUUAAGCCCUCUUGGUGGAGAGGCUUGUUAUAUUUUUUUUCAUUGAUAAGUUAGCAAUCCCACAUCGGAUUGUGAGAGGAAACAUGCUACAAAGGAUGCCUAUAAAAGCCAUCCUCACCUAAGGCAAAGUCAUCACCUGGGCUCAAGACUCAGCCCAUAAAAUUGUGAGAAUGGGUGUGGGCUUUGUCAUAAUAAGACAAGGCCCAACAUGGGCUUUAGCCCAAAAUAUUUAAACCCAAUGGAACCCCCCUUUCCAUGUUUGCAAAAUCAAGGGGUUAACUUGAACUGUUCGGUUCGUUUAGAACCGUCAGACUCCAGCGAGUCAUCGGUCCGACCGCUGAUUUAAGCGGUUCGAUACCGGUCCAAUCCCUAAAAGGUCUAAUGGAGCAAAUCAGACUGGAAGUGCGACCGAUCAACGGUUGAACCAAUUGGACCGGCCGGUCCAGUCCGAUUUUUAAAACAUUGAGCGAAACUACAUCAAUUCACCUUUUAGCUGACCUACCCCACUAUAUGUGAACCAUUAGCUCUCCUCUACCAGCUGUAGUAGCCAUAAUCAAUAACACCUCCAUGUUUAGCUUGUAGAUUAAUUUUGAAAUUAUUUUUUUAAUAAACAUAAAAUUUAUGUAUUUUCAUAAAUUAUUUUAUAGUUACCAUGGAAGGUUUUUUUUUUCUAACUCAUGCACCACUCAACUUUAUCUUUUCUUUUCUAGAUAUGCACCUACUACAACCCCAUCAAUGCUAUGACAUCUCUCCACCACAACCAAAUUUUGGCUGCCCAAGACCACCUCAACACAUAUCCAUCAAUCUGUUUUAUCCUCUAUACCGUAGCCAUACUUUUAACCGCCCAAGACAUACCUCAAAUUAACUUUGACCAAGCUGCCCAUCUCCUGCAAUAAUUCAUUUUUUUUAGCUGCUUAAAAACCUAUCUCCAUCAUUCUCACUUGUUCUUUAUUCUUACCACAACCACACUCUCUCUUAAGCUACCAAAACUACAUUAAUUCUCCUUCUAGUUGCACUACCCCACUGUAUGUGAACCAUUAGCUCUCCUCUACCAACAAUAGCAGCCGUAAUCAAUAGCACCUCCAUGUUUAGCUUGUAGAUAAAUUUUGAAAUUAUUUUUUUAAUAAACAUAAAAUUUAUAUAUUUUCAUAAAUUAUUCUAUAGUUACCAUUAAAUUUUUUUUUUUCUAACAUAUGCACCACUCACCUUAAUAUUUUCUUUUAUAUAUAUGCACCUGCUACAACCCCAUCAAUGCUAUUACAUCUCUUUACCACAACCCAAUUUUGGCUUCCCAAGACUACCUCAACACAUAUUCAUCACUUCGUCUUAUGCCCCAUGUCGUAGCCAUACUUUUAACUGUCUAAGACACACCUCGAAUUAACCCUCACCAAGCUGCCCAUCUCCUACAAUAGUUCAUUUUUUUUAGCUACCCAAAAAACCUAUCCCUAUCAUCCUCACUUUUCAUUUAUUCCUACAACAACCACACUCUCUCUUAAGCUACCGAAACUACAUCAAUUCACCUUUUAGAUGCCUUAUGCCACUGUAUGUGAACCAUUAGCUUUCCUCUACCAACUGUAGCAAUUGUAAUCAAUAGCACCUCCAUGUUUAGCUUGUAGAUUAAUUCAUAAAUAUCCUAUCUAAAUUUUCAAAAGCCACACCCAUGUCUCUAACCUUUGCAUUAGUCAUUAGAAGUUCACCAAAUCCUUUACUUUAUCCAAACUAAGCACUUCCAUCAUGGUUGCCACUUUUUUCUCCUAAAAUCGAGUACCAUAUAGCACCAUGUACCCUCAUGACUAUUUCAUCUUCUUUCUAUCAUCAAACCUUUGCACCACCUUACCAUAGGCUUUACAACGACUUCAUCUUCUUUCUUCUUUCAAGCCAAACACCAUGUUGCACGACACAACCCCAUUGCAACUUCAUAGUCUCCUUUCCUUCAAGCCGAAUACCACAAUAAUUUCAAUGUGUAGCAAGAUGAUCCAAAUGUGGCUACCAUGAAGAAGAAUGUUGGAUUUUUUCGACAAAGAAGAUGUUUAGAUGACACCAUCAGUGAUUACUCCACAUGCCUCAUCAAGUUUAAAGUCAGAUAACUUGUUGUUGUUGAUUUGUUUUCUUGUUGUGUUUGGACCCUAUACAUGUACUUUUUAUGAAGGCCAUAUAUGGUCAUGCUUAUUUUGUAUUUAUUUUGAUUAUUUCAUUUUUUGUUGUUUUAGUUUCAUCUUUAUUAUAUGUCUUUAAGUUAUAUGAAUCUCAUACAUUUUAAGUUGGGUAGACAUAAAAGGGACGGGAAAAUCAGUUUUCGAUUAAGGCCUGUUUGACCGAAAAAUGGGAGAAUAGUUUUGGAAGUUUAAGAUGUUUGCAUUUGGGUGAGAUGGUGAGUUUAUGUGAGAAGAAGGGGUCGAGAGUCUUGGAAGAGAGGAUAUAAAAUCAGAGGCUCAUUUUUUGUUAGAGGGGUUAACCUUUUUUGGAGGGUCGUUUUGAGAUUUUUGUGGAGUUGAGAAAAAGUGAGAGAAAAAAACAGAGAGAAAAGAGAAAGAAAGAGGUAAUUGGAAGGCUAUGAGUUUUCUUUUUCUGUUCUUGGUUGAGAGAAAUUUGGGAAAGAGAAGUCGAGAUCGAGAGUUCUAGUGGAAGUGGCACUGCCUUUGAACUUCAGAUAAUCGGAUUUCAUGAACUGCAUUUUUUUCUCACAAGCGCUUGGAAUGCAAAUCAGGUAUGUAUUUCUUUAUUAAAUUGAUGAAUUGUAUUGAUGUGCUGAUUUAGUUUAUAGUAUCUAUGAAUUAGCUAAUUAAUCAUUGCAUUUAUUUCAACUUACUUAGUAGAGACCUAACUUUUAGGGCUUAGAGGGGUGCUACAGUUUUUCAUUGUACCUUCUCGAUAAGUAACAUGAUCCUCGAACUUAGACUCGAGUUUUCAAAAACAGGCUUUUCUAAAGAAAAAUGAGUCAUUUUUGGGUUUUUUUUUGUAUUUUUAAAAAAUAAAACAAAAAUAAGUGGUGAUUCCGUUAUUUAUAAAAUUGGUUUUUCACAAACAAAACUCGAGUCUCGCCAUCAAGUGAGAACACAUAUGAAAAUGCAGGAUCACAAAGUGGCGACUCCACUAGGGAUCUUAGAGGGUCAAGCUUGAACUUAAGUUGAAGUAAAUGUGAGGUUUAAUUGGUUGAUUAAUGGAUACCCCUUCUUUGUGCCUUUGUUUGAUUGUGUGAUUAAAGACACAUUGAAGAUUUUUUUUACUACAAAUAUCUAUGAUAGAUGCAUACUAGAUUAUGAUGUUUACUUAUGAUUGCUUCUCUUGCCUAUUAUGUUUUCUUACCAUAAUUGAUUGUAUUCUUAUCGCAUGAUUAUUAUACUUUAGCAUGAUGGUUGAUUUAGCUGUAUGCUUUAUUAGAUUAUCAUGUCUUUGUUUAAUUUGAAUAUAGUGAUGGAUGAUUUAUACUUGUAUUGCAUUACUGAUUGUAGCAUGACUACUCUUCUCUUGUGUGACUACUUGUUGCAUGUUUGUGUGGGACACACUUGUAUCCCCUUAACUCCAAUUCUCUAGUCUUGAUUGGUUUGUUUCCCUUGAUCUUGUAUUAUAUAUGAGACUUGUUAAUUCACGUCUUUUUUUUUUAUCAAGUUAGAGACUAGGAGUAGGGUCCAGUGACGGGCUAUAUUGAUGUUUGGGAGCGCUAUGGAGGUAGGCAUAUUAAUACCAAUAGGAGUCCGAUCAUUGAAGACUUAUAUGGCCUAAAACUGGAUUGAAUGGAUGCUCAUGUGGAGUAAUCAAAGACUUGUAUGAGUUUGAGUUACAAUAAGAUGCUUGGAUAUGUUAUUCUUGGUUAUGGUUCUUUAGUGCAAUAUAUGUAUUCCUCUUGUAUCGUGCUUUAUCCAAUAUUUGAACACCUUCUAGAAGUAGUCAUCCCUUCCAGUUUGGGUCCAUCGACGUGAGUUAGAGUUGAUGGCAGACUUGUUUGCACAAGAUAUCAGAGAGAUAUGAACUCACAGCUAGUUACAGUUGAUUAGUUCACCUCAGUUAUGGCUUCUAUCCAAGAGGCCAUUGCAAGCCUUGGACAAAGGAUGGAUAGGUAGCAGAUUCGGUAGACACCUCUUCAAGAGGAUACUCAAUUUGACCUAGUGCCACCACCAUCUUCCCCUAUUAGUUAGUCAGACCUACCAGUCGCACCAUUUAUUCUUCAUAGUCAGACCGAGGUCGCUCCACCUUCUAUCACCAUGCCUACCCCUACUUCAAAUGAUACCCAUGCUCACGUGGAUAGGCUUGAGCAGAGACUGAGACAUAUAAGAACCUUAGAUGGAGGGGUUACAUGGGAUGAUUUUGAUGGAUCGCCUGUGGCUAACUUACCGGCCAAGUUCAGGAUGUCAGAUAUUGAGAGAUAUACGGGCAUAGGUUGUCCUCGUAUUCAUUUGAGAUUUUACAGUAUUGUCAUGAGGGCUCAAGGGUUCAAUGAGAGCCAAAUGAUUAUGUUUUUCCCUAUGUCUCUAAGUGGCGCUACCCAGAGGUGGUUUGCUUCUUUAGAUGCUUCACAUUGUAGGACUUGGGAUGACUUAGCUCAAGAGUUUUAGAGAUAGUUUGUCUUCAACACUAUUGUUGAUAUGUCUAAGAGAGAGUUGGAGGCCUUGAGGCAAAGACCAGAUGAGUCAGUGACUUCGUUUAUCUCCCUUUGGAGGGAGAAGGUAACAUUGAUGGUUGAUCAUCCUUCAAAGAGAGAUCAUAUUUGCAUGAUUGUGAAGAGCUUACAACCUAGGUUUUCCAAGCAUUUGAUGGGGUUUACAUAUGCAGAUUUUGGAUUUUUAUGAUGUUGAGAAGGGUAUUUCAAGAGGGUUAUGGCUAGAGUCUUUCCCUAUUGAUCCUAAGGGGAAGAAACCAUCAGGAGGUCAACAUUCAGAUGUGGGUGCUAUAUCUACCUUUAAACUAAGGCCUCCUAGAUAUCGACGGUCAUUUCCAUAUACUUUCAGGGCUCGUUCUCCUUACACUCCAUACCCUCAGUACUAGUAUAGGUCUUCGAUUCGUCUACAGGCUUAUGAUCAGACUUAUUUGUAUUUCGCUUUCCUUCAGCCUUGCUAUGCUACUCAGGCUAUUGAUAGGCCACCUAUUGCAUACUCCAGGCCCCGAGCAUCUCAUACUCUAGUUACUUUCAUUCCUAGACCACAAAGGUAGUUUUCCCAACUAGGGAUGCCAUUGAGUUAGGAUUUCAAGAAGCUUGUUAAUGCUAGAUUAUUGACAGCACUAGCUCCACGCUUAGUACCUUAGCCGAUUCCCUCGAACUAUAGACUGGAUCUUCAUUGCCUAUACCAUCAGAGUUUAGGGUAUGACACAAAUAGGUGCAUGACUUUGAGACACACCAUACAUGAUUUGAUAGAUCGGGGUUCGAUGUGGGGUAACCAAGUGUCAUCGCAAACCCAUUACUAACUCAUUCUACUCAUGUAGUACCACCACUAGCCAGGGGUGUCCCCUUUAUUGAUAUUGAUGGAGAUGACUUUAUUCACAUGAUUAGUUGGGAGGAUCAUGCACCAGAUCUUAUAGUAUUAGAUGUGAGAUUAGAAGUUGAUGGAGUCACUUUGGGUACAUCGUCUAUCCUAGACAGACCUCCAUUUCAGUUGAUCCCAAUUCAUGACUCAUUUGUUGUCCAUUGUGCUUUCAUUCCCUUUGUUUUGAUGCCUGAGGAUACUAAUGAGAUUGUUGAUCAAGAUGUCCAUAUAGUCACUUGUAGUGGAAGAGUGACUUAGCCUCCAUUAGCAUAGACUAGACUAUUUGAGGGUACUAGGUCUAGAGAUGUUGUGAUAUAAUAGGAUGAUGAAAUCAUGAGGUAGCUACAAAGUACACAAGCUCACAUCUCUAUCUGGAGUUUGCUAGUUUCUUCUACUACUCAUAGAGACACAUUGAUUAGGACUCUGAGUCAUAUUAGAGUUAAGUCUGUUAUAUCUCCGGAUAGUCUGAUUCACAUGUUGAUUGUUGAUAGAGCUACAUGCAUUGUAUUAUCUACUGAUUACCUACCCCUUGGAAGCCUAGAUCAUACUUUGCCUUUAUAUAUCAUUGUUGGUUGCUUAGGGAAUUGAGUUCCAUUUGUCUUAUUGGACAAUGGCUUCACCUUGAAUGUGUCCUUUAGCUAUUGCUAUGGCACUUGGGUUUGGUCCGUCAGAUUUUGAGCCACCUACACAGUUUGUCAGAGCUUAUGAUAGCACACAAAGAGAGAUCCUUGGCACAUUGACACUUAAGCUAAAAAUUGGUCUAGUUGUAUUCUCCGUAGUAUUUCAGGUUUUGAGGAUACCUACAUUCUUUAACAUGUUAUUGGGCAGACCUUGGAUUCACUGAGCCAGCGCCAUACCAUCUUCUUUUCAUCAAGAGGUGAAGUUCAUACAUGAGGAUAUAGUCAUUACCAUACAAUUUAAUGGAGAUAUUUCUUUAUCCUUUGAGCUAGUUUUAGAGAUUAGCCAUAGUGAGGAUGACUUGUUUUUUAAUGGUUUCACAUUUGAAAAGGUUUAGAUUGUGACUAUUGAGGAGUCUCUUAGAGAUCAUGUACCUCUGUCUUUUGAUCGCCAUAGUGGCACUAUUUUCUUGGUUUGGGAUUAGGACAAUGACAACAUGGUAUCAGUGAGUUUAUAGCUAUUGUGAGUUAUGAUACACCCUUUAGCUUGGGAUAUACACUUACAGAGGCAGACUAUUGAUACAUGGCAUACCUACAUAGACAGAGGCUCAGAGCCUGGUUACUUCACAUACCAUUUAAUUACCCACUCUAACCAUAUACGAUGGCUAAGACAAAAUAUUUUAUGAGAGCUUCUGAGAUGCUUUUGACAUUGGAGGGUAUUAUUGGUGGAUAUGAUGGUGAUCAAUAGAUCGAGGGACUUUUCCAAUAGCUUCAGUUGACAUAUAGAUCUCCUAGUACUUUCAUCUCAGUAUUGGUGGCUCCUCUGUCCCCAAAUUGUGACAGCAUGAUAUCACUUUGUUUUCCUAAGGAGAUAGGUAGCUAGGAGCCAUUGCUUCAGUAUGUAGACAUAUCUUAUGGAGUUGACUUACCAGAUGACUACUAGGAUGAGAUAGCUAUGAUGAGUUUGAGCCAGAUAGUUCAUACCAUUUAACUAGAUUCUUUCACUCCAACUGCCACAUCUGAGGCAUCUACCAUCGAGAUCUUCGACAUUGUCCAGACUAGACCCAUUUCAAAUUUAUUUAAUGAAGAUGAUUCUCUUACAGAUGAUGUACUUGAGGGCACUGUUAGCUCGAUGGUGGUAGUGUCUGACUUUGUGGACUCACCCAAUUCUUUUGAUGUAUUUUCGAGUUUGUCUUCUGCAUUGAUGAUGUACCUAUUGAUUCUUCAUAUAUAGACAUGAGUAUUUUUUAGUAUUCACCUGCUUUUCAUGAUGACGUUACUGUACAUGCACUUAUGAGGACAUUCCAAGCCUCGGUCCUUCUAUUGUUCAACACCAAUUACCAUUUUCACCACAUGCUAGACUAGUUAAAUAGAAGUUAAGGCGAUUGCACCCUUAAUGGAGUUUGAAGGUAAAAGAUGGGACCUAGAAGUAGCUCAGUGUUGGAUUUAUAUUAGUAGUAGAGUAUCUUGAGUGGUUGGCCAAUGUCAUCCCUACUCCUAUGAAGAACAACAAAGUCAGAGUUUGUGUGGAUUUUAGAGAACUCAACAAGACCAGCCUUAAGGACGACUUUCCCUUACUUCACAUUGAUAUGUUGGUUGAUAGCACAGUUAGUUAUUCAUUGUUGUCCUUCAUGAAUGGGUUUUCGAGGUAUAACCAAAUCUUGAUGGAUCCAAAGGACAUGGAGAAGACCGCUUUCAUCACUAAGUGGGGCACAUAUUGUUAUGAGGUGAUGCCAUUUGGGUUGAAGAAUGUAGGAGCUACAUAUUAGAGAGUGGAGACCAUUCUUUUCCAUGACAUGAUGCACCCGGAUGUUGAGGUGUAUGUGGAUGACAUGAUAGUGAAAUCUCGGAGCGGAUCAUCUAGCAACCCUGGAGAGAUUCUUUGAGAUGAUCAAAUAGUUCAGAUUGAGAUUGAAUCCCAAGAAGUGCACAUUUGGAGUGACCUUUGGGAAAUUAUUGGGAUAUAUUGUUGGUAAGGGAGGCAUAGAGGUAGACCCAGAGAAUAUUAGAGCCAUUCUUGAGAUGCCUACACCAAGGACUGAGAAGGAGAUCAGAGGAUUUCUCUGUAGACUACAAUAUAUUAGUAGAUUCAUAGCUCGAUUGACAAACAUAUGUGAGCCCAUCUUCCGACUCCUGAGGAAGAACCACCUUAUUGUUUGGGAUGAUAAUUUUGAACGUGCCUUUGAGAGGAUUAGAGAGUAUUUGAUAUCCUUUCUAGUUCUGGAACCUCCCACUCCCAAUCGACUUUUUUUUUUUUGUAUAUCUUAGAGAUAGCCUUGGGAUGCAUGCUAACUCAGUUCGAUGAUUUGGGCAAAGAGUGAGCCAUUUAUUAUUUGAGUGAGAUGAUGCUAGAGUAUGAGAUGAGAUACAUUUGGAUAGAGCGCCUCUGUUUGGCAUUGGUAUGGGCUAUUAGAAGACUAAAACAUUACAUGACAGAGUAUUCGGUACACUUGAUAUCCCGACUGGAUCUCUUAAUAUAUUUGUUUGAUAGGCCUAUUUUACCUGGUAGAUUGAUGAUAUGGUUAGUACUCUUGACUGAGUUUGAUAUUCACUAUGUUACUCAAAAGUCCAUUAGAGAGAGUGUUGUUGUAGAUCACCUGGCCUCAUUACCAGUUUCAGAUAGUGGAGUUAUUGAUGAUGAUUUCCCUAAUAAGGGGAUUGCAACUGAGACUAGUAUGCCAAGUUGGCGCAUGUACUUUGAUGGUGUAGCCAACCAUCUUGGAUAUGGGAUAAGAAUAUUGUUGAUAUCUCCUUAUGGUGAUCGUAUUUCGAGAUUUGUUCGUUUGGCAUUCCCAAAUCGAUAUCCUACCAUGAAAAAAUAGUCGAGUACGAGGCUUGCAUCUUAGGAUUAGAGACAACUUUAAAGUUGGGUCUCAGAUGGAUGGAGAUAUAUAAAGACUCCAACUUGAACUGAGACAGAUUUUGGGGACCUAAAAGAUUAGGGAUGUGAAGCUCAAUCCUUAUCAUGCUUACUUAGAGCUACUGGUCGGGAGAUUCGAGGAUUUGAGAUAUACCCAUCUAUCGUAGAACUAGUUUGUUAAUGGCUUAACUACUCUAGCUUCCAUGAUUGACAUUCUUACUGAUGUUGUUAUUUGCCCAUUAGUGAUAGAGUUGAGGAUUGUGCCAGUAUAUUGUUGUUUGAUUGAUGAUGUAGAGAUUCAGGAUGACUUACCUUGGUAUCAUGACAUUUAUUAGUUUCUCAUAUUCAACACAUAACUUGAGGUUGCCACAACCAAGGAUAGGAGAGCUUUGAGGCACUUGGCCACCAGAUUUGUGAUAUGUGGCGAGACAUUAUACGGACGAUCAACUGAUGACUUGUUACCGAUAUUCUUAGACCAUACCUUUGUUGAUAGAGUGAUGAGAAAGGUUCAUGCUGGAGUUUGUGGACCACACAUGAGAUGACACAUGUUGGCUCGUAAGAUCAUGAGGAUCAGAUACUUUUGGUUGACCAUGAAGACAGAUUUGUACUAGUUUGUUUAGAGAUGUCUGGGGUGUUAGAUAUACAAUGAUCUUAUUCACAAUCCACCUUCAGAGUUACAUGCACUAACCUCACCAUGACCAUUUUCAAUUUGGGGCAUUGAUAUCAUUGGAAAGAUUUCACCAAAAUCUUCCAAUGGACAUGAUUUUAUCUUGGUCACUAUUAAUUACUUCACCAAGUGGGUGAAGAAACUUCUUAUGUGAGAUUAACAUUAGCCAAAGUUGCUAGCUUCAUCAUGUCACACAUCAUUUGUCGUUAUGAAGUCCUAUAUGAGUUGAUAUUUGAUAGAGGAGUACACUUCAGGGCAGAGGUUGAUGUCUUGUUAUAAAGAUAUAGUAUUCAGCAUCAUAGGUCAUCUGCACAUAGACUAUAGACUAACGGGGCAGUAGAGGCCACGAAUAAAAAUAUUAAGAGGAUUUUACUGAGUAUGGUUGACAAUUUCUUGAGACUAGUCAGAGAAGCUCCAUUUUGCACUAUGGGCUUAUCGCACUUUUUUUUACACUUCUACAGGAGCCACACUCUAUUCUUCAAUGUAUGGUAUGGAAGUAAUGUGAUUCGUGCCCAAUUGGUGUUUCAGCUGAUUCGUGUCCAGCUGGUGCUCCUUGAUUGAGGGAGUAAUCAACAAAAUUUAUAACCUAUUACACCAUAUACUAGGGUAGCAAAGACAAAGCUACUAUAGCAUAGUGGCUCUAGGAUCGUUCACUGGGAUGAGUUUUUACUUUGCAAAUGAUAUUAAUUCAAAGCUAAAUUGGUGCCUUUUCAUUUCAAGGUUAGCUUUAAAAGAAAACAUAAAGAUGUUUGAAUAAAAAAGGUUUGGUUUUAAACUAACCAAAAAUAGUAACUGAUUUUACUUACAAAGAAAAGUGUUUCUUGGAGUUUCAGAUCACUAGGCUCAGAUUCCUCAUACAAAAAGGGAGUUCCGGCCACUUGUUUCUUUUCCUCGCAUUAGAGAAUUAACAUAUAGUUAAUUCUCUAACCAGUGCUGUACAGAUGCUUCCCAUUAAUGGGUUCAAACACUAAAUCCCUCUCACUGAUGCACCUUGCAAUGGCUCAUGCCUCUCACCUAGCAUUUGCCAGUCAAGGUGAUCUUUAACCUUGGAUUACUCGUCAAAAGCUCGCAAGAGAUAACUAAUGGAUGUCUCCUUAGAGUCCAAAAGCUUACCAAGUGUUGGCAAUUCUAGAAAAUCCUACCUUCAAGUCACCUCCCAGAGGCUCACAAGGGGUAAACUAGUGCAUCUCCAUGGACGGAGAUCACUUGCCUUACCAAGUGUUGGCCCAGGUGAUUUAAAGGCGUUUUAAGUUAACUAAAAAGAUAAAAACCAUUAACGGUCACACUUUCUCUUCAUUAAAAACUAAAACAACAAAACUUCCAAUUUAUGCAUGUGGAAACUUACCCGGCUUUCCUUAGCUCCAAGAGACAAAAAUCCUAGCCUCUCAUCCUCUGAGGAAAAACCUUAGAGUUUGAUUGGCUAGAAAGAAAAAGAAAAUGAAAAUGAAAGAGAAGGAAAAACCAGAGCAAGGCUCUGUAUAUUCUAUAUAUUAUAUAUCUAUAUCCCGUUGGAUUACAUGAUUCUAUAUUACAUACUUCUAUAUCUAUUACAGUGGAUGCAAGGAAAUAUAUAUAGAGACGUUUUUCCAACCUUCCUAACUAAGAAAUCUUAUGGUUGGUGGAUUAUAAGAAGAAGAAUGGAAAUUUAUACAAAAAUAUCUGAAGAAAAAUAUCCAAAAGUGUCGGUCACAACUAUCGGGAAGCUUCAGGAGAACACCCGUGCACUGUGCAAAAUGGCUGCGAAAUUCUCGCAGCAAAAGGCAUUGGAUUCUUGAUUUCGCAGCCGUGCAAAAAUCUUCCUUCAGCUUGGAGUGAUAUGCUUGCAAUGGCUGUAACUCAUUCGUUUCAGCUCCAAAUCGUGCACUAUUUGAAGCAUUGGAUUCUUGACUUCCUGAGCUUUGAAAUGGUAUAUAGCAUGUAGAAAAUGGACUUCGUAAAGUGCUCAAAAAGUGCGCAAGAAGACUGCAGCUGCUGUUCUCUGUUUUCUUCACUUUGUUUUUCUUCUCUCCGUUGUUCUUUCCUUGCAUACUUUGAACGAAUUUGGAAAAGGGCUAUGGAGCUCCAAAGCUUGGUUCUUCAUGAAUUUGAACUUCCAAAAGCUUUGCCAUGAACUAUAUACAACUCUCCCUCAAUCUCGGAUUGCUUUGGUGAUCAAAAAGCUAUCAAAACACCAAAACUUAACACAAAUUGAUUAGAAUUGAUUGCAAGGGUCCUUAACAUAUUAAUUGGGUUAAAAAGCAAUAACUACUACUCAAAAAUGUUUAAAAGAGUUAAUUACAAGCUAUGAAAUAACACUUUUUGAGUAGUAAUCAUAAUGCUACCAGUUGAGAUAGAAAUAAGAUCUUUGAGAGUAACACUUGAACAUCAGAUAUCUGAGGCAGGUUGGGCCUAAGCACAUUUCGAUUAGCUUGGUCUUCUUGAUAAGAGAAUGUUGAGAGUAGCAUAUCACACUUAAGCUCAUCAGAGGAAGAUGACCCAUGCUUUCAGAAAGCAGGUCAAGCUUAGAUCGCUACAAAGAAGAGAUUUGGUUUUGAGGGUUCUUAGAGGCUUGGUUGUAGACCCUAGAAUAAACGGACUUGGAGUGGGCCAUAUGUCAUUAAAGAGUUGACUCUAGAGAGUGCAAGAUGGUUGAUGGAUCUAAAUGGAAACCAAUUCUCAGAGCCGACCAAUAUAGAUCAAUUAAAGAAGUAUUAUGUUUGAGACUAUGGUCACAGGAUGGGUGACCUUCAUUUCGAUUAGCUUAGACCUUAUCACCUUUUGGACAUCUAGAUCGUUGCUAGCCCUUUGAGCCUCACAUGAUCAUUGUAGCCUAUUCUUUUUUAUAGUCUUGUUUACUUUCUAUAUUUGGGACCCUCUAAUGUACAUAUGCUUUAUUCAGGAAUUUCAUGAGUCUUGGACCUAUUGAUAUACUCCUAUCAUUUAUCUUGUCGUUAUCAUGAUACCCUGUUUCAUUCUCACCUCCAUUGUUUGUGUUCUUUGUUAUGUUUUUUUUUAUACUAUCAGAUUCAUCUUAUUUCUUCUCAUAGAUUGAGUGAUGAUCUUUCACAUUUCAUAUUGUGUAGAUCGAUCAUAUCACCACUUACAUUCCAUCUUGUAGACAUUGAUACAAAGGUCUUUGGUUGAGAGGGUCAUUUCAUCAAGGAGAGCUCAUUGUUUUUGGAUCACUCUUUGAGAGCAUAUUCAUACCAUGGUAAAAAGAAAAAAACAAAAAACAGUAUAUGUGCAUGAGAUGUAUUACUUCAUUGAACAUGUAUGAGAUAUUUGAGAGUUUAUUAUGUGGAGUUCAUUGGUUGAUGAGAAUGCAUGAGAGUUUUUUAUCCUUAGGUUCAUCUUGUAUAUGUUCUGAGUAUGAGAGAUGGGUAACUCUUUCCUAAAGACUCUGAAUCAUUGUCUCCUUCCAUCACUUUAGUCACCAAUGAUUUGAUCACUUUUCAUGUCUUGUCUUGAGUAGAUAAGAGCAUGUUUUAUUCAUUUUGAUCUUAUCUGUUCUUUAUAUUCUUCAUCAUUCACCAUACAUUCAUCAUUCUUCAUUCAUAUCUAUCUUCAUUCCAUGAUUGAUAUUCUCUUCAUAUCAUCUCUCUUUGUAACUUGAUGCUCACUUCUAUUCCUUUUCCCUAUCAUCAUUGAUUUUGUUAAGACCUUUUAUGUCCCAUGGAUGCUCACAUUAAAUACCUUUAGGUUCAUAGCUUAUGAGAUUAUUUAUGCAUAUUGUGUUUUGUACAUGAGGGUAUGGGUCUUAUCAUUGGCUAUUUGAACUUAGUUUUUUCUUUACCCUAUUAUCUUAGCCUAUAUUACGUCACGUGCCUUAAGACUACCUUGAGGCCAUGGGAUCGGAUAUCAGCUUUGAUAUUCUCUACUCGGGCAAGUGUUUAAAAUUUGGUUAAUGUGUAAGCAUCAUCAUGUUCUUCCUUCUGGGGAAUGUUUCUCUGAUGUCUGGAGUUGAUUCAUAAUGGAUGUAGAGGAUUGCUUGAUUUUAUGGCAGAUGAGAGAUGUUGUUUGACUUCCUAUUUUGCUAUAUAUCAGAUGUCAUACCGAGGCAUAUCCUCUUUCCAUCAAGAUUGCUAGUCUCACUUUGGUUUUCAUUUUGUUUCAUGAUAAUGGAUAUUGAUUUUGACUAUUUGAUUUCUUCAUGAUCUUUAGUGGAAUUGCAUCUCAAGUCAUUAGGUUAGACUUACAUUUUCUGAUAUCCUUGCUAUAUUUGAUGGAGUAACCCUAGUGAGGUAUGCUUUCAUCCAUGCUUUUAGUGGAUCAGUUAAGUUUCAUUAUCAUAUCCCUCGGUGAAAUUCUAUCUCAAGUAAUUAGGAUGAGCCUAUACUUUUUUAUAUCCUCACUAUUUUUUGAUGGAGUUACCCUAUUGAGAUAUGAUUUCAUCCAUACAUAUAGUUGAUUGGAUUGGUAUAACCACUUCUGAUCAUCAGUGGAGUUUAUUUGACCUAAGAUGUUUGGUUGAUGCACACAUCUUUUGAGUCAUCUGAUCACUUCAUCAUUGGAGACAAAUAUGAUGAGUUGGUAUCAUUUGGUUAUCUCCAUGAUUUUGCAUUAGUUGCCAUACUAGGACAUAUUCCUCUUUCUUUUGUUGAGAUGAGAUCACAGGGGAGCAUUACCUUUGAGCUUGAAUAUUUUCAUGGAUUAGAGAUUCUCAAUGGAGUAUUUUGUGAUGACAUUAGUUUUGAUGGAGUAUUUUUUUGAGAUUAUGGUAGUCAUCAUGAUUCCUUAGCAGAGUGUUUCUAAGGUGGAUUGGUUCGAUUGUUUUACAUUCCAGUUCCUUAGUGAAGCAUUUUUGAGAUAGAUCAGUUGAUUAUUUGAGUUGGAGAUGGUCCUUAGUGGAGUUAUCUCCCUAAGUGACCGAUUGGCCAUAUUGAUUUCUUAAUGGAGUAUUGAUGAGCUAGUGGCAUUUUGGUCCCUUAGAGUAUUUUCGAAUAACCUAUCCUCAGAAAAUUCUGGAUGUUAUGGUAUUUCCAUACUAGCAAUACAUAGACCUUGCAUACUAAGGCAUAAUUUCUCACUCGUUAAGGUUAUUGGGAUCAUUAUUUGUUCAGCUUUUAGAGUAGAGGCAUUCAGUGUCAUCUUUUAGAGUACUGAUCAUGUGAUUGAUCAGGGGUUUGUGUAUCACAUUCUCCUUCAUGACCGAUUUAUCAGCUUUCAGAGCAAAAACAUUCAGUGUCAUCUUUUAGAGUACUGAUCAUGUGAUUGAUUAGGGGUUUGUGCAUCACAUUCUUUUUCACGACCGAUUUAUCAGUUUUCAAAGCAAAGACAUUCAGUGUCAUCUUUCAGAGUAUAAAUCAUGUGAUUGAUUAGGGGUUUGUGCAUUACAUUCUCUUUCAUGACCGAUUUAUUAAUUUUCAGAGCAGAGACAUUCAGUGUCAUCUUUCAGAGUACUGAUCAUGUGAUUGAUUAGGGGUUUGUGUAUCACAUUCUCCUUCACGACCAAUUUAUCAACUUUAGGGCAGACGCAUUCAGUGUCAUCUUUCAUAGUAUAGAUCAUGUGAUUGAUCAGGAGUUUGUGUAUCACAUUCUCUUUCAUGGCUGAUUUAUCAAUUUUCAGAGUAGAGGCAUUUAGUGUCAUCUUUCAGAGUAAAGAUCAUGUGAUAGAUCAAGGGUUUGUGUAUCACAUUCUCUUUCAAGGCCGAUUUAUCAGCUUUCAAAGCAAAGACAUUUAAUGUCAUCUUUUAGAGUAUAGAUCAUGUGAUUGGUUAGGGGUUUCUGUAUCAUAUUCUCCUUUAUGGCUUCUUUAUCAGCUUUUAGAGUAGAGAUAGUUAGUGUCAUCUUUCAAGGAUACUUUCCAGAUUAGCUUUUAGAGUCACUCUUAUUAGUUUAGCAUUCUAAGUUGCUUGGCUACCAGAGUCAUCUUUUGAUAAAGAGUUAUGUUUGUAGUUUCGACACUCAAAGUCUUUGUAUUGUCGUUCUAGUGUUCAAAGUCAUUUAUCUUCUUAGUAUUGAGCAUUCUCAAAUUACUUCUAUGAUUUUAUUGCCUAUGAUCUUUCUUUCUUGAUUGUGUCUUUCAGAGUCAUUUGGCCUCAUUUGUUCAGUGUUUUGGAUUCAGUGUUAUCUCUACCUUCUUACUCUUUGAUUUUGCUUGUCAGUUUAUUAAGUCAUGUGUCAGGGCAAAAUUUUAGGAUUUUUUCUAUUCUUCGAUAUAGUUCACUUGGUUUCAUUCAUUUUUCACAUGCUCAUGAUUAAUUCAUUAUACUCGUGACUUUUAUUGAAGAGGGGCAUAUUUGUAGAUCCCUUAUUUUACCCACGACACAUAUAGGCUACUAUCUAAGUAAAUCAUUGUAAUUCAUCAACUUGUAGUCUCCGAUUCUUCUUUGGAAGCUUCUUAGAGGAUAAAUUACGGAACUUUGAUGUGAUCACCUAAACCUCUGAAUUUGUAACUUAAAGUUUUCUGAUUAUUCGAACUUAUCAUUGACCAUAAACUAAAACAAAAAUAUUAAAUAAUUGUUUUAAAAUAAAAUAAAAUAAGUUGUCUUCUUAAACAAUAAACAUGCCAAAAUACUCAUUUAUUUAUUUAUUUUCUUUAAUAAUCCAUAACCAAAUAAAUAAUAAUAAUAAUAAAAAUUUAAUAAAUAUAAACGAAAAUAAAAUAUAGCAAUGUUAAAAUUCAAGUUUAUUACUACUAUCUAAUUCAUGUUUUAAAAUAUAAACUAAAAAUAAAUCUUGUUUUUUUAGUAAUGAACAAAUAUCAUGAACCUUAAAUAAAAAUAGACAUUUGAGUCCAUAAUAACUAGCAAAAUUUACACUUAAGAUAAAUUAUUUUUUUAAUAAACACAAAAUUUAUAUAUUUUCAUAUAUUAUUCUAUAGUUACCAUUCAAGGUUUUUUUUUCUAACUCAUGCACCACUCAUCUUUAUCUUUAUAUAUAUAUAUAUAUAUAUAUAUAGCACCCCAUCAAUGUUAUCAUAUCUCUUUACCACAAACCAAUUUUGGCUACCUAAGACCACCUCAACACACAUCCAUCAACCUGUCCUAUCCUCCAUGUCGUAGCCAUUCUUUUAGUUGCCCAAGACACACCUCAAAUCAACCCCACCAAGCUGCCCAUCUCCUGCAAUAGUUUUUUUGUCUGCCCAAAAAACCCAUCUCUAUCAUCCUCACUUUGUCCUUUAUUCCUACCAUAGCCAUACUUUUUCUUAAGCUACCAAAACUACAUCAACUCACUUUCUAGCUGGCCUACCCCACUAUAUGUGAACCAUUAGCUCAUCUCUACCAGUUGUAGCAGUCGUAAUCAAUAGCUCCUCCAUGUUUAGCUUGUAGAUUAAUUCUAAAAUAUCCUAUCUAAAUUUUCAAAAGCCCACACCCAUGCCUCUAGUCUUUGCAUUAGUCAUCAUAACUUCACCGAAUCCUUUACUUUCUCCAAACUAAGCACUUCCAUCAUAGUUGCCACUUUCCUUUCUCAAAUCCGAGCACCAUACAACACUAUGUACCCCUACGACAAUUUCAUCUUCUUCCUACCACCAAACCGUUGCCCCACCUUACCAUAGGCUCCACGAUGACUUCAUUUUCUUUCUUCCUUUAAGCUAAACAUCACAGUGCACCACACGACCCACUACAACUUUGUAUUCUCCUUUUCUUCAAGCCAAAGACCACAACAAUUUCGAUGUGUAGUAAGAUGGCUCAAAUAUGGCUACCAUGGAGAAGAGUGUCGGGCUUUUCGACAAAGAAGAUGUUCAGAUGACACCACUAGUGAUUACUCCACAUGCCUCGUCACCCUUGAAGUCCAGAUAAUUUGUUGUUGUUUAUUUGUUUUCUUGUUGUGUUUGGACCCGGGACAUGUAUUUUUUAUGAAGGCCAUGUAUGGUCAUGCUUAUUUUGUAUUUAUUUUGCUUAUUUCAUUUUUUGUUGCUUCGGUUUCAUUUUUAUUAUAUGUAUUUAAGUUAUAUGAAUAUCAAACAUUUUAAAUUGGGUAGACAUAAAAGGGGCAAGAAAAUUAGUUUUUGACUAAGGCUUGUUUGGCCGAAAAAAAGGGGAAUGAUUUUGGAAGUUUAGGAGGUUUGCAUUUGGGUGAGAGGGUGAGUUCAUGUGAGAGGAAUGGGUCGAGAGUCUUGGAAGAGAGGGUAUAAAAUCAUAUGCUCAUUUUUUGUUAAAGGGGUUAGCAUUUUUUGGAGAGCCUUUUUGAGAUCUCUGUGGAGUUGAGAAAAAGUGAGAGAAAAAAUAGAGAGAAAAGAAAAAAGAAAGAGGUAAUUGGAAGGCUAUGAGUUUUUUUUUUUUUUUUUCAUUUCUUGGUUGAUAGAAAGUUGGGGAAGAGAAGUAAAGAUGGAGAGUUCCAGUGGAAGUGGCACUACCAUUGAACUUUAGAUCAUCCGAUUUCGCGAACUGCAUUUUUUUCUCAAAAACGCUUGGAAUGCAAAUAAGGUAUGUCUUUCUUUAUUAAAUUGAUGAAUUGUAUUGAUGUGCUUAUUUAGUUUAUAGUAUCUAUAAAUUAACUAAUUAAUCCUCGCAAUUAUUUCAUUUUACUUAGUAGAGACCUAACUUUUAGGGCUUAGAGGGGUGCUACAGUUCUUCACUAUACCUUCCCGAUAAGUAACCUAAUCCCUGGACUUAGACUCAGGUUUUCAAAGACAGACUUUUCUAAAGAAAAAUGAGUCAUUUUUUAAGGGUUUUUCCUUCUUAUUUUGUUUGCCCUUUUAAAAAAUAAAACAAAAAUAAGUAGUGACUCCGUUAUUUAUAAAAUUGGUUUGUCACAAACAAAAAGCGAGUCUUGCUAUCGAGUGAGAACGCAUGUGAAAAUGCGGGAUCACAUUUCCCAACACAACCAAAGGGAAACUCUAUCUUAAUCUUAUGAGAUAUCAUGGUACCUCUAUUGAGAAUACCUAUUAUUACCAACUUACUUCAAUAGUGACCCAAACUAUAGGGAAUAUAUGAUCAUCUUACAAUUUCAUUCGUAGGUUAAUUAAAACCAUUGCUAACUUUAGCAUAAAAUUAAUAUUCUCUCAAGGUUGAGAGACAACAUAAUGAAGCAGCUUGGUGAAUUCAUGGCUACUUGAUAACCAUGUAUGGUUACACAUUAGAUAGAACCUAUGGUGAGUCAUGAUGUAAGCUGUCGGUUUGUUAUAACUUCACUAAGCUACUAUGUUAUAUUAUCUCUUAACUUUGAGAGACUCUUGAGUCUAUGCCGAAGUUAGUAAUGACUAUGAGCUAUAUAUGAGAUACUAAAAUGAUGAUAUAUUCCUUAUUGAUUUGGUCACUAUUGAUAGAAGUUGGUAGUAAUGGGUUAUUAGAGCCAAAAUAUGUGCUCCAAUCACACAAAUAUGACAUGAUUUAUGUAACAUAAAAAGCUCUAACUAUCCAAGUUGACUCAAAUUGAUGCUAAGACUUUAACUAUGGAUAUAAAUUCUAUUUUAAGCCUAAUUCCAGGUUUAUGGGAUGAAAAGAAUGCUAAGUGAAAAGUCAUUUUCAACCAAGGAAAUAGAAGAGGUUAAAUAUGCAUAAAUGAGAGACUUGGGACUAGUGAACUAUGAAGAGUCCAAGAAGUGGCAUUAUAAGAAAACCAUAGGCAUGAAAUACUAGCAAGGGGUGUUGUGUAUUGAGAUAGAGGGCAAGCAACCAUAAUAGAGGAGGGAAGCACAUGCAAUCAAGUUCACAUGGAAAUUUAGAACUCAAAAUUUGGCUACAACAUAUACUUUGAUUUUAAGGUAAAAUUUAGAGCACUUACUAAUGUCAUUUUUGGGCAUGCUAUAUAUCAUUUCUAAGCUCAAGAAGUCAAGAGUUCAAUGCUUUAAAAGGUGUGCAAAUCAGAAUUGCCAUGAUAAAGUCAUGCACGUUAGAAAUAAACUAGUAGUGGGUGAGUUCAAAAUUCACCGUGAAUUUUGAACUCACCAUGGUGAUUUCGAAUUUGGCACUUUUCCUCCACUUAUGAGUUCAAAAUUGAUUUGGAACUCAUCCCAACUUUAAACUUAGCUAUUGAUGAUUUUGGGUUUUGAGCUCCAAAACAUGUCAAAACGAGUUUCAAAUGCCUUCAUCUAAUUCGGAAUGCAUGACACUUAUUUAAAACUCGUAAUAUUUUCAAUCUUUUAAGUUGUUUAUGACUUUUCUUUGUAAUAAGUGGCCAAUGGAAGUAUGCACAUGUUAGGUUAUUGAAUUUAUUAUAUAAACUCCUUUAGCUCUAGGUUUAAGGGAGAGAAAAAAGGAUAAAAUGUAGAGAGAGAUUGAUCUAUUCUCUUAAAAUUAUUUAAUAAAGUUUUAGGUUUUCUUUUCUUUUCUUUCAUUUUUCAAUCUUUAUUUUUUAUUUUUUUGGUAAUUAAAUAUAGGUUGUGAGAAGAAACCCACCACCAUGUUUAACUAGGUUGAUUGAUUUAGAGAUGCUAACAUGAAGGUGAAGAAUCCAAAGGAGUGACAAGAAAUGAUAAUGUAUUAAAUGGUUUGAUUACGUUUUCCAGUUUUCACUAAUAGGAAUAUAUCUUCUAUGUCAAAUCACCUUAGAUAAAUUAUAUAGGAUUCUUAUCAAGAUACUAGUAAUUCUUGGGAAGACUUUGAUUACUAGUUACUAUAGUUUGAUCCUACUGUUAACGAAUCUAAGGGUUGAAUCUAUAAAGAUGGAUAUGGAAUUUUGAUUGAAUAAAAUUGAAAAUCAAAAUAAACCAUCAUAUCUAAUUGAUUUAGGAAUUAUGAUAAUGAGAUUAAUAAUUGGUUGGGUUACAAAUUAUGAAUAUUUUGUCUUAUCCUUGUAAGUUAUACUAGGGAAUGAUAUGGUAGGUUAUUACUAGAUACUAAUGAUUCUUGAUAACUCUUGAUCAUUAGUUAUCUUGGUCUUCCAAAUCAUUAUUUACCUCAAAACAAAGCUACAAGUAGUAAGAAGGGUUAAAAAGCUAAACCUUAAAUCAAUAAUUAAUCUCAUUCACUUGAUGUUUUAGGAAUCUAUUUUAAGAAGGAAAUAUUAAGUUCUCAAUGCAAUAUUGGUCUUAAGUUUUAAUUUGGUUGCAGAUUGACUUUGAUCCUAAAUCCUAGAUUUGAUAAUUUUCUCUCUUUCUAAGGAUUUGACAUUGGAUUGUGAAAUUCUCUAAAAUAUUCUUUCUUUUAUUGAUUCAUUUCAUUAAAUAUUUUAGGGAAUUUUUAUUCAUAUUUAUCCAUAUUUAUUUAAAUUAAGAUUUCUUUAUCUUUAGCAAAUAAUUACCCUUUUUCAUCUAAAAACAAAUAAACAAAUUAGAGUUGAUCCCAGAAAACGAUAACCCACAACACUGCAAAGUCAUGGUAACUCUAUCUCUAGUUUUUCUUAGCUAGAGUUAUCAUAUAUUUAAGCUUAAUUAUUUUAAUUACAAUAGAGAUUUGCAGUGAAUGAGUAUUCUCAAUAGAGACACUAUGAUAUUUCACGGACUUGAAGACAAUAUAUGCCCUUGGGUGAUCCUAAGGAUAUGUGUUUAGAUAAACUAUGGUUAUAGUAGUGCCUUAAGCUCUUUGUGAGAUAGGACAUGUCAAUUGAUUACGUAAUAAGAGGAUUUGUAACUUAAGGAUGGUAGAAGUAAUCUUAAGAGGAUGAUAGUUUUUACCUUGUUAGAUUAUAGACAUCAAUUCAUUGGGAGACUAUAUAUAGUGUAUAGUAGGUCACGAACCCGAACACUUAUUGUCUUGUUGUAAUAUGCAUAAGGUAUUAUAGUAUAGUUAACUCAGUAUAAUGGGAUAUUGAGUCAACUUCAAAAUUGAAUUAUGAGGGAGUCGAUACCAUCCUAGCAGUUCCAAUGGUCCUCAUUCAAACUCAUAUAUCUUGAUGACACUUUUUAUGAGGGUUGAAUUGGCUUUUGGUUCAUUCAUAAAGAUGUUUUGGUAAUUACGUUAGGUUGCCUGAGAAUUAGCGGACAACAUCUCUAGAAUAAGUUAAUUGAUUAAUUGGAGUUUUGAUGGAUUAAUUAAUCAAUUAAGACUCUUUUUUGGGCUAGAUUAAGUGACCCAAGCUCAAGGUAGGUUCAAGUCACUUAAGCUUAGUAGAAACCCUAUAAAUACCCCUUAUAAAAUUAAGGUUUCAAGUCUUCUUCUACCAUUCUCCCUAUGUUCCAAAGAGAGAACCUUAACUUCCAUGCUCAUGACUUCCACCAUUUGUGUUCUUAGUUUCAAGAAAUAGUCAUUAGGUGGAAGAUUGGAGGUUUAUGAGAUCACCUUUGACUACCACAACAUCAAAUAAUGAUUUCAUCAUAACGAUUCAAUCUACAAACAUCCAAAUCUAAGGUAAAUAUUCUAAACAUGUAAUCUAGAUCUUGUGAAUAGUUUUAAAUGUUAUAUUUUUACUAUGCAUAGGAUCUAGUUGCCCUAGUAGUAGUUUCAUGCUCCUAACCUGAUCCUUGGACAGGGAACAAAGUAAUCAAGAUUUCCCAUCAGUUGGAUGACCUUGUUGAAAAGAAAAAUUGUUUUCAUGCCUUGAAAGGUAUGUCUUUCUAGGAAGCGUAUGACCACUGGUAUGGUGUAGUGAUUAUGUAUGGUGAAAAAAAAUUAAAAAUAAAUAAAAUAAAAUAAAAGAAUGCAGUGGGCUGCGAGGCUACAUAGUAGUGAUUGUGCUGUUGGAAGAGAUGAUAAUAAUUUGGUGAUGGUAUAGAUUAUUGGGAGAAGUGAGAGUAGUGAAGUAAAAUAAAAUUGUUAUAUAAAACAAUAAACAAAAACACAAUUAUGCUGGGCUAAUAGCAAUAAAUUAAUCAAAUGGAAACUAAAGGAACAUGACAACGGAAUCUGAAGCAAAGACAUGAAGAACAAUAAGAAACUAAAAACAUGAACCACCUUCCACACACGACACACUCAACUGCAAAACCCUAAUUGGUAGAAAUUAAAAUUGAACCUAAAAUGGGAACCAUGACCACAACAAAUUCAAGGGAAAGGAUGAGAACUAGCACCACCACCAGGACCACCACCGGUGCCCACUCCACCGCCUAGGGUUCCGAUACCACCGGUGCCACCCAAGCUGCCGAUCCCUCCUGGCCCAUCAAGUCCACCUGCGCUACCGAUUCCUCCGGCAACUCCGCUGACUCCACCUAGCCCACCAAAUGGCAGUCCAGAAUCACCUACUCCUGCAAAGCCACCGAGCCCGCCAAAGGUGACGAUGUUCUUUUGGUCAUCGAGACCAGCAUCACUAGGCACAGUCCUUGCAGUGGUGUGAGCCACUGCUAGGGCAAGCACUGCCAUGAUAAACCACUUUGCCAUCUCUCUCUUUUCUCACUCACUCACUCACUCACACUCUAAUGCUUCUUUUUG